rnacentral:lncRNA from 1 species
UUUUUUUUUUCUGUUUUCAAGAGAUGAUGUCAUGGCGGGUUACAAAAACUUCUGCGAGGAUAAGAAGAUGGAUUUUUCUAAGUGUUGAAGAUUGACAAGGAACAAAGUUCAAAGUCAACCUGGGGCCUAAUGUUGGGGAUAUAACUAUCAGUUAUGACCCGCCCAGGAGGGGCCGGGUCAGCCCCAAUGGCGGGUUACAAAGGAAGCCCAGUAAACAUUAAGAUGAUAGUUUAUCAAAUCUUAUAGAAGGCCUAAAAGGCCUAGAGGCGGCUUCAGGCCCAGUAUUGUAAACCGCCGUAUAUAAGGGAAGACUUGUAAAGAAAGGCAUGAAAAAGAAGUCACCGAGCCGGACACGAUUUCUGAGUCGGCCGGGACUCUGUAGGCUACGAAGUGUCAACCCGUGUAUAUAAGGGGACGACCCGGUGGCGGCUUAGGGCAAGAAAUAAGAGAUCGAUAACCAAGCCAGCGAGUUAAGCCUCUUGGUGAUCGAAACCCCAGCAAUACCAAACACAACUAGACGUAGGCUUUUACCUUCAUUGUAAGGGGCCGAACUAGUAUAAAACCUCUCGUGUCCUUUGUCCCAAUCAACCCCUUUAAGCUUCCUAGUUGUGAUGGCCCUACGACUAAGUCCUUCCACUAGGACAUCUGCCGUGACAAUUCCACGACAGAUUUAGUUGAUUCUUUUUGCAAAUUGAAGCUCUUGACUUAAACUUUCUGAUAAGGCCGAAUUCAUAUAAUUUUGGUACUGUUAGAAAUUGUUUUAUGUUUCAAGAGUUAUUUGUUGGUUUUGAUGUUUUCCAAACUGUCUUCUUUGUUCUUCCCGAUCUUUUGAGUGAUUUCUUAUGUGUGGUUACUAUUGCUUGCUCACGAUAGAUUGAACGGAGGGUGAGGAGAACUAUCAAGAGUUAUGAGUGCGAAUCAUCUUCAUCAACAGUACAAGGCAAGUUCACACUUUGAUCAUAUCCCUUUCAUAGCCAGCUUUUAUGCAUUAGUUUCACCCUCAAACAUUGCAUGAGUAGGAUUGAUAACAUGUGGGUAUUGGGAAGUAGUUGAUGAGGUAGAACCUAUUGUCCUUUAUAGAAAACCCUUGGGAGUUACUUCUACGUUAUGCUUAUAUUGCCAUGCUAUGCUCGUAGACGUGGAUUGGGUUUGAGUGUAUCCAUGACAGAUGUCAGAUUGUUAAUUAAUGGUUCAACUUAAGGUGGUUACUUUAAUACACAUCUGGGUGGAUUGGUUGGGGCACCAUGGAGUACCAAGUGGUUUGCCCGGGCACCUGGAGAACCCAGUGCUUGCCCAAGGGGAUCCCGGAGGACCCGUGUGAUAACCCUAUGGAAUGCCACCCAGGCUCAAAGGGAUCAUAAGAUUAUUCAUGCUAGAAACUUCUGUGUGCAGCCACAAGCUAUUAUGGGCUCUAGCAUAGUUGAGUAAGUUGUGUGAAGCUCUUGAAGAUAUAGACUAGCAGAUGUAGUGGGUUGUAGGUGGUAUAGUCUAUCUGGAGUGAGAGUUAAUGCUUCUGAAAGACUGUGUCUCGGUCAUCCGUUUCUCAAACACCAUGUAGUGCGAGAAAUCCAACGGAGCAGAUCGAGUCUUGUGGGGAAAAGUGUGCAAACCUCUGCAGAGUGUACAAACUAAUCAUGGUUAGCCGUGUCCCCGGUUAUGGACAUCUUGAGUCUCUGGUACUUGGAUUAUCAUAUUGAUCUCAUCACAUUACUUCAAUAAUUUGUUGGGUUAUUGAUGUUAAUUUGGGAUUGAGUUGGAGGAACCUUCUCAAUAUUUUCUACCAACUUUGUAGUUAAAUAAAUUAUAUUCCUUUGCAGUAGGGAAAAAAUGGCUUUUCGCAAAAACAUUAUAACCAUAGAGAUUUUCCACCAACCAUAUAUGCAUGUAGUGAUAGCUAUUAUUCAUCAUUAUCCAAUGGUGUGAAUUUGCUAGUACAUUCAAUGUACCGACCCUUUGUGGCUGCAAUGUCUCAUGUUGCAGGAUUCUUACGACGAGUAAGUGAUAUGUUAGGGUUACGAUUUCUACACUCAACUUUGCCAUUGGUGUUGAUGGGAAUCCACAACCUUGUUAUUACUUCCGCUAUUUGGAUUGAGGUAAUAGUAUUUACGUUAUUUUAUACAUGUGAUUUACCUCUGUUAUAAAUCCUGAAGUAAUGUGUGUGUCAGCAUAUCGAUCCAGGGAUGACACUUAAGCACAGAGACUUGACCGUCUGAGGUCGGGUCGCUACAAGAUGGUAUCAGAGCACAUGUUGACUGUAGGACGUGACCCCUAGAAACUGGCAAACCCAUAGGAAAGAUUUUCUCUAUAACUUUCUUUUCAAAAAAGAUCUUUUACCUCUCCUCUCUUCUGAGCUUAUUCAAAUAUUCCCUUUAGUGAGACCAUACCCCUUUCCCCUUUUGACCACACGAAGAUUCGACUGAUGAGAUCACUCCAAGAAGUACAAGAUAUUGGACAACUGAGACCAUUCAGAAUGAAGAGGAUUUUACCAUACAUUAUAAUAAUGGAAACUACAAUGGUUGAAGACUCCAAAGACUAGGAGAAUUUGACGGCCGUGUAGAAUUUCUAGAUUUGUAUGACCUAGGAAGGCACCCCUUAUGGAACUUGGCAGACUAUGGAAGCUGUCAAUACCCAAGAUCAAGGUGUAUUGGAGAAAGACCGGAACAUGGAGAGUUAAAAACUCAAAGUUUUGUCAAAAAACCGAAGGCAAGAGAUAUAAAUUAUGGAAUGAAAGCUCAUGGAAAUGACAAGAGCAUAAACACGGUUAUCCAUGAUGUUAUUGCCCGCUUAUACUAUUGUCACCGGGCUGAGUUAAGCAUACAUUUCUUCGGAAGGAUUGGAUGGUAGAAGGGUGAUGGAGCACCUAUCAGCAAAUGAUGAAGUUUUAACCUUAGCCGGUGUAUCACCAGGAUCUGGAGUAGUACAUCAAGAAUUCUAAGAUGGAGCUCCAGGAAGCCGUAUUUGACAAGGAAGCAUUUUGUGAAGAACUUAGGACCCAGAAGAUGAAAGUAGCCAAGCCGGAUAAGCAAAACCUCGAGAUACCGGAGAUUCGUCAUGAACUUAAGGACAGUAGGACCAUGGUUCAUGCGAAGGAUGUUGAAACCAGAAGUUUGGAACGCAACUCCAGAAUAUUAAAGGACGUCACGAGAGACUUCGCGUCAACAGGAAUGUGAUAACCCACAAGUAUAGGGGAUCGCAACAGCUUUUGAGGGUAGAGUAUUCAACCCAAAUUUAUUGAUUCGACACAAGGGGAGCCAAAGACUAUUCUCAAGUAUUAGCAGCUGAGUUGUCAAUUCAACCACACCUGGAAACUUAGUAUCUGCAGCAAAGUGUUUAGUAGCAAAGUAAUAUGAUAGUGGUGGUAGCGGCAACAAAAGUAAAGACAGCAAAAGUAAUGUUUUUGGUAUUUUGUAGUGAUUGUAACAGUAGCAGCGGAAAAGUAAAUAAGCGAGAACCAGUAUAUGGAAAACUCGUAGGCACCGGAUCAGUGAUGGAUAAUUAUGCCGGAUGCGGUUCAUCAUGUAACAGUCAUAACAUAGGGUGACACAGAACUAGCUCCAAUUCAUCAAUGUAAUGUAGGCAUGUAUUCCGUAUAUAGUCAUAUGUGCUUAUGGAAAAGAACUUGCAUGACAUCUUUUGUCCUACCCUCCCGUGGCAGCGGGGUCCUAUUGGAAACUAAGGGAUAUUAAGGCCUCCUUUUAAUAGAGAACCGGAACAAAGCAUUAACACAUAGUGAAUACAUGAACUCCUCAAACUAUGGUCAUCACCGGGAGUGGCCCCGAUUAUUGUCACUUCGGGGUUGCCGGAUCAUAACACAUAGUAGGUGACUAUAGACUUGGAAGAUAGGAUCUAGAACUCACAUAUAUUCAUGAAAACAAAAUAGGUUCAGAUCGGAAAUCAUGGCACUCGGGCCCUAGUGACAAGCAUUAAGCAUAGCAAAGUCAUAACAACAUCAAUCUCAGAACAUAACGGAUACUAGGGAUCAAACCCUAACAAAACUAACUCGAUUACAUGAUAAAUCUCAUCCAACCCAUCACCGUCCAACAAGCCUACGAUGGAAUUACUCACGCACGGCGGUGAGCAUCAUGAAAUUGGUGAUGGAGGAUGGUUGAUGAUGACGACGGCGACGAAGCCCCCUCUCCGGAGCCCCGAACGGACUCCAGAUCAGCCCUCCCGAGAGGUUUUAGGGCUUGGCGGUGGCUCCGUAUCGUAAAACGUGAUGAUUUCUUCUCUCCGAUUUUUUCUCUCCAAAAGCAAAUAUAUAGAGUUGGAGUUGGCGUCGGAGGGUCUCUAGGGGGCCCAUGAGGUAGGGGGCGCGUCCUAGGGGGGGCGCGCCCCCCACCCUCAUGAGAAGGGUGUGGGCCCCCUGGUCUUCAUAUUUGGCGAGGAUUUUUUAUUAUUUUUUCUAAGACCUCCCGUGGAGUUUCAGGUCAUUCCGAGAAUAUUUGUUUUCUGCACAUAAAACAACACCAUGGUAAUUCUGCUGAAAACAGCGUCAGUCCGGGUUAGUUCCAUUCAAAUCAUACAAGUUAGAGUCCAAAACAAGGGCAAAAGUGUUUGGAAAAGUAGAUACGACGGAGACGUAUCAACUCCCCCAAGCUUAAACCCUUGCUUGUCCUCAAGCAAUUCAGUUGACAGACUGAAAGAAAGAAAGAAAGAAAAACUUUUACAAACUCUGUUUGCUCUUGUUAUUGUAACUAUGUCAAGCCAGCAUUCAAGUUUUCAGCAUAGAUCAUAACUAACCACAUUUGCAAUAAUUCUCAGGUCUCCUCAUUACUCAUUUCAAUAGCAUAAUCAACUAGCAAGUCAUAAUAAUAAAUCUCGGAUGACAACACUUUCUCAAAACAAUCAUAAUAUGAUAUAACAAGAUGGUAUCUCGCUAGCCCUUUCUGAGACCGUAAAACAUAAAUGCAGAGCACCUUUAAAGAUCAAAGACUGACUAGACAUUGUAAUUCAUGGUAAAAGAGAUCCAAUCAUAGUCACACCCAAUAUAAAUUAACAGUGAUGAAUGUAAAUGACGGUUGUGCUCUCCAGCUAGUGCUUUUUAAUAAAAGGGUGAUGACUCAACAUAAAAGUAAAAUGGAUAGGCCCUUCACAGAGGGAAGCAGGGAUUUGUAGAGGUGCCAGAGCCCGGGUUUGAAAUAGAGAUAAAUUGUAUUUUGAGCGGUAUACUUUCAUUGUCAACGUAACAACUAAGAGAUGGCGAUAUCUUCCAUGCUAAACACAUUAUAGGCGGUUCCCAAACAGAAUGGUAAAGUUUAUACUCCCCCUCCACCAACAAGCAUCAAUCCAUGGCUUGCUCGAAACAACGAGUGCCUCCAACAUACAUCAGGUCUCAGGGGGAGUUUUGUUUGCAAUUAAUUUUGAUUUAGUUUGCAUAAAGCAUGGGAAUGGGCAUCCCGGUGACCAGCCAUUUUCUCGUGAGUGAGGAGCGGAGUCCACUCCUCUUGAGAAUAACCCGCCUAACACAGAAGAUAAGGACAGCCUUUGUUGAUACAUGAGCUAUUCGAGCAUACCAAAUAGAAUGUUUAUUUGAAGGUUUAGAGUUUGGCACAUACAAAUUUACUUGGAACGGCAGGUAGAUACCGCAUAUAGGAAGGUAUAGUGGACUCAUCUGGAAUAACUUUUGGGUUUAAGGGAUUGGAUGCACAAGCAGUAUUCCCGCUUAGUACAGGUGAAGGCUAGCAAAAUACUGGGAAGCGACCAACUAGAGAGCGACAACAGCCAUGUACAUGCAUUAAAAUUAAUAAACAUUGGGUGCAAGCAUGAGUAGGAUAUAAUCCACCAUGAACAUAAAUAUCGUGAAGGCUAUGUUGAUUUUGUUUCAACUACAUGCGUGAACAUGUGCCAAGUUAAGUCACUUAAAUCAUUCAAAAGAGGAUACCACCCCAUCAUACCACAUCAUAAUCAUCUCAAUAGCAUGUUGGCAUACAAGGUAAAUCAUUAUAACUCAUAGCUAAUCAAGCAUGGCACAAGCAACUAUGAUCUCUAAUUGUCAUUGCAAACAUGUUUAUUCAUAAUAAGCUGAAUCAAGAACACGGGACUCGUCAUAUUUACAAAAACAAAAGAGUUCGAGUUCAUACCAGCUUUUCUCAUCUCAGUCAGUCCAUCAUAUAUCAUCAUAAUUGCCUUUCACUUGCAUGACCGAACGGUGUGAAUAAUAAUAAGAGUGCACGUGCAUUGGACUAAGGUGGAAUCUGCGAGCAUUCAAUAAACAGGAGAAGACAAGGCAAUAUGGGCUCUAUGGUUAAUUCAACAAUAAUGCAUAUAAGAGCCACUUCAACAAUUUAAUUAUAGUCUUCUCCUACUGACCCCCAUAGAAAAGAAAAGAAAUAAAACUAUUUACACGGGAAAGCUCCCAACAAGCAGAAGAAGAACGGGAAAUAUUUUUGGGUUUUCUUUUUAGUUAUUACUACUACAGCAGAAAAAAUAAACUACUACUAAUUUUUUUGGUUUUUUCUUUAGGUUUAACAAACACACAAGAAGAAAGCAGGAAAAGGAAAAUAAACUAGCAUGGAUAUUACAGUGAAAAAGUAUGAGCACCGACAUCUAGCAAUGAGUGUGUGUGAACAUAAAUGUAAUGUCGGUGAGAAAUACGUACUCCCCCAAGCUUAGGCUUUUGGCCUAAGUUGGUUUAUGGCCACGGCUGGCCUGGCAGAUAUCCAUAAUAAUAAUUGUUGGGGUCGUACUGUGAUGGGGAAGAAUAGUUGGGAUCAUACUUUGAUGAAGAAGAAGACUCUGACUGCCACUGGUUGACAGUCAUCUCUGGAUCCCAAGAAUAAACAGAUUGUCGUGGAGGCUCAUCUUGUGGCUCCUGUUCCGGGGCUGGUGCUGGAUUCUUGUAAGCUUGGAUGGCAGCCCACGUAACGAGGUAGGGUCCUACAAAAUUAAACAAAGAAGGAGCAGGCAACGUAAUAGUUUCAGGAUGAUGUUUGUUAAAGAACAAUUGAUAUUUAAGCUCUCCUGCCCUAUUCUUAACAAUAAAAUCGUGUGCCACCAUACUUUUAUGAUCUAGAUAAACACGGGGCAGCACCUUUUCUUCCUUCUCAGCAUGCCUAAUAGGUAUGUUAAAAUGUGCAGCUAGGCGUGUAGCAUAGAUGCCUCCAAAGAUGGGACCCUUAGUACGGUUCAUACUUAACCGUCUAGCAAUAAUACUGCCCAUACUAAAAGUGUUAUCACUGUAUAAACCAUGGUGCAGAAUAAUUAUAUCAGGGAUACUAAGGUUUCCACUGUUUCCGCGUCCAAUUAAACAACGACUAGCAAAUAAUGCAAAGUAGAAAAUGUAUGCUAGUGAUUCGUGCAUCGGAAACCUUUCUAGUUUCUCCUACAGUGAUAGUAUCAAUAAACCCAGCCACAUCAUCAUGAUGUGGUUCUUCUGUCUUGCCCUCAAAAGGGAUUAAACAAAUCCGACAGAAAUCAUAAACUGACAUCUCCUUAUGCUCAUCAUAUAAAUGAAACUCCACCGUAGGUGGUGGGUUCCUAGAAUGAAAAUGAAGGUUUUGCACAAAAGUAUUUGUGAGUAAGAGAUACUGAUCGCAUUGGUCGUGGAGGAAAGCGGUGAGGCCUGCAUUGUGAGCCAAUUCAUGAAAAUCUUCAUAGAUAUCGGCUGCUCUCAAGAAAUCUUCAGAAGGUCAUUCACACGCCUGAAUCUCCGCGGUGCGCGGCAAAUUAUAAUUAGGCUUCGGUGCCUUUUCCUUCGAGCUUUGGCUCGACGAGCCCCUCAAAAAUCUCCUCAUUAUUUUUCUGAAACAAUCUGAAAUUUUUAGUAACUUCAAAAGAAAAGUAAACCAAACUCAAUAAUAUUGAUAGCAACUACUCCUACAAGUGCCUAGAGCCUAAAUCAAGCAUUAGAACUACUUGGAACCAUAUAAAUUUGACAUGCAAGCUCAAGAACAUGGUCACCUAUGCAUCACAAAUUUGCAAAGAAUAAAGCACUAGAACAAAAACUAAUUGGACCAAUGGAGGAGUCACAUACCAAGGAACAAUCUCCCCAAGCAGUUUUGCGAGAGGUGCUUUGAGCAAGGAGAUCGAAAAUCACAGCAAAAUUGGCUGGAACUCAUGCUUGAGUUGGUUUUUUGGGUUUGUGUGAGAUAGAGGAAGAAGAUGGGUGCUGGGAUAAGUGGAGGAGGGCCACCGUGGGCUCACGAGGCAGGGGGCGCGCCCUAUAGGGGGGGCGCGCCCACCACCCUCGUGACCAGGUGGCAGCUCCUCCCACGGUAAUUUUUGCACAGUAAAUUCUCAAAUAUUCCCGAAAAAAUCAUAUUAAAUUGGCAUGGCAUUCCGAGGACUUUUAUUUUUGGGUUUUUUUAUAUUGCACGGAUAAUCACAAAAUAGACAGAAAAAUACUAUUUUUACUUUAUUUAAUAUAAAUAACAGAAAGUAAAAGUGGGAUACAGAAGUUUGUGCUUCUAGUUUCAUCCAUCUCAUGCUCAUAAAAAAGAAUCCACUAACAAGGUUGAUCAAGUCUUGUUAACAAACUCAUUCCGAUAAUCAUGAAAUCGGAGAAAUUUCGAAUAGCACUAAGUUACCUCGACAGGGAUAUGCACAUCCCCAAUAAUAAGUAUAUCAUAUUUCUUCUUGACAGUAGGGAGAGGAAAUUCAAAACCUUCAAAUAUAAUCGAUGGAAUUUUUCCAAUAGAAUUGAUACUAUGAACUUGAGGUUGUUUCCUCGGAAAGUGUACCGUAUGCUCAUUACCGUUAACAUGAAAAGUAACAUUGCCUUUGUUGCAAUCAAUAACAGCCCCUGCAGUAUUAAGAAAAGGUCUUCCAAGAAUAAUAGACAUACUAUCAUCCUCGGGAAUAUCAAGUAUAACAAAGUCCGUUAAAAUAGUAACGUUUGCAACCACAACAGGCACAUCCUCACAAAUACCGACAGGUAUAGCAGUUGAUUUAUCAGCCAUUUGCAAAGAUAUUUCGGUGGGUGUCAACUUAUUCAAGUCAAGUCUACGAUAUAAAGAUAGAGGCAUAACACUAACACCGGCUCCAAGAUCACAUAAAGCAGUUUUAAUAUAAUUUCUUUUGAUGAAGCAAGGUAUAGUAGGUACUCCAGGGUCUCCAAGUUUCUUUGGUAUUCCACCCUUAAAAGUGUAAUUAGCAAGCAUGGUGGAAAUCUCAGCUUUCGAUAUCUUUCUUUUAUUAGUAAUGAUAUCUUUCAUAUAUUUAGCAUAAGGAUUUGUGUUGAGCACAUCAGUUAAUCUCAUACGCAAAAAGAUAGGCCUAAUCAUUUCAGCAAAGCGCUCAAAAUCCUCAUCAUCCUUUUUCUUGGAUGGUUUCGGAGGAAAAGGCAUGGGUUUCUGAACCCAAGGUUCCCUUUCUUUACCAUGUUUCCUAGCAAUAAAGUCUCUUUUAUCAUAAUGUUGAUUCUUCGAUUGUGGGUUAUCAAGAUCGACAGCAGGUUCAAUUUCUACAUCAUUAUUGUUACUAGGUUGAGCAUCAUCAUGAACAUCAUCAUUAAUAUUUUUACUAGGUUCAUGUUCAUUAACAGAUUGUGUUUCAGCAUCAGACAUUGAUAUAUCAUUUGGAUUAUCAAGUGGUUCAACAAUAGGUUCACUAGAAGUUUGCACAGUUCUAUCAUUUUUCUUCUUCUUCUUUUUAGAAGAACUAGGGACAUCAAUAUUAUUUCUCUGAGAAUCUUGCUCGAUUCUCUUAGGGUGGCCUUCAGGAUACAAAGGUUCCUGAGUCAUUCUAACAGUUCUAGUAGCCACUCUAACAGCAUAAUCAUUUUUCUUACUAUUCAUUUCAUCAAGCACUUCUUUUUGAGCUUUAAGUACUUGUUCUACUUGAGUGGUAACCAUAGAAGCAUGUUUGCUAAUAAGUUUAAGUUCACCUUUAAUAUCAGCCAUAUAAUCACCCAAGCAUCUAAUCAUAUAAGAAUUUUCUUUUAAUUGUCUACCAAAAUAAGCAUUGAAGUCGUCUUGCUUAAACAUGAAGUUAUCAAACUCAUCCAAGCACUGACUAGCAAUUUUAGUAAGAGGGACUUCAACUUUAUCAUAUCUAUAGAGAGAAUUUACCUUUACUACCUGUGUCGGGAUAUCGGGAUCAGGAGGUUCUUCAGUAAAUAAAUAAUUGAGAUCAUAUGUUUCUUCAACAGGCGGUAUAUUAAGACCAUGUAUUUCUUCAAUAGGAGGUAAAUUCUUAACAUCUUCGGCUUUAAUACCUUUUUCUUUCAUAGAUUUCUUUGCCUCUUGCAUAUCUUCGGGACUGAGAAAUAGAAUACCUCUCUUCUUCGGAGUUCGUUUAAGAAUAGGCUCAGUAAUUGGAGCAGGAGUUGGCUCAGGAGGUGCCCAAUUAUUUUCAUUUGUCAACAUAUUAUUCAAUAGAAUUUCAGCUUCAUCCGGUGUUCUUUCCCUGAAAAGAGAACCAACACAACUAUCCAGGUAAUCUCUGGAAGCAUCGGUUAGUCCAUUAUAAAAGAUAUCAAGUAUUUCGGGUUUCUUAAGAGGAUGAUCAGGCAAAGCAUUAAGUAACUUGAGAAGCCUCCCCCAAGCUUGUGGGAGACUCUUUUCUUUAAUUUGCACAAAGUUGUAUAUUUCCCUCAAAGCAGCUUGUUUCUUAUGAGCAGGGAAAUAUUUAGCAGAGAAGUAAUAAAUCAUAUCCUGGGGACUACGUACACAACCAGGAUCAAGAGAAUUAAACCAUAUCUUAGCAUCACCCUUUAAUGAGAAAGGAAAUAUUUUGAGUAAAUAGAGGUAACGUGCUCUCUCAUUAUUAGUGAACAGGGUAGCUAUAUCAUUUAACUUAGUAAGAUGUGCCACAACAGUUUCAGAUUCAUACCCAUAAAAUGGAUUAGAUUCAACCAAAGUAAUUAUAUCAGGAUCAACAGAGAAUUCAUAAUCCUUAUCAGGAACACAUAUAGGUGAAGGAGCAAAAGUAGGGUUGGGUUCCAUUUUAUCUCUAAGUGAUUCUUUGUUCCAUUUAAUUAAUAACCUCUUAAGCUCAUAUCUAUCUCUGCAAGCUAAAAUAGCUAAAGAAGCAUCCCUAUCAAAAAGAUAACCUUUAGGAAUAACAUGCAUGUUUUCAUCAUCACUAUCAUCAUUGUAUUCAGAUUCAAUAAUUUCUCUUUCUCUAGCCCUAGCAAUUUGUUCAUCAAGAAAUUCACUAAGGGGCACAGUAGUAUCAGGCAUAGAAGCAGUUUCAUCAUAAGUAUCAUGCAUAGCAGAAGUGGCAUCAUCAAUAACAUGCGACAUAUUAGAACGAAUAGCAGAAGCAAGUGUAGGUGUCGCAAACUUACUCAUAAUAGAAGGUGAAUCAAGCGCAGAGCUAGAUGGCAGUUCCUUACCUCCCCUCGUAGUUGAGGGAUAGAUCUUUGUUUUUGGAUCUCUCAAGUUCUUCAUAGUGUCCAGCAGAUAUAAAUCCCAAGUGACUCAAAGAAUAGAGCUAUGCUCCCCGGCAACGGCGCCAGAAAUUGGUCUUGAUAACCCACAAGUAUAGGGGAUCGCAACAACUUUCGAGGGUAGAGUAUUCAACCCAAAUUUAUUGAUUCGACACAAGGGGAGCCAAAGACUAUUCUCAAGUAUUAGCAGCUGAGUUGUCAAUUCAACCACACCUGGAAACUUAGUAUCUGCAGCAAAGUGUUUAGUAGCAAAGUAAUAUGAUAGUGGUGGUAGCGGCAACAAAAGUAAAGACAGCAAAAGUAAUGUUUUUGCUAUUUUGUAGUGAUUGUAACAGUAGCAGCGGAAAAGUAAAUAAGCGAGAACCAGUAUAUGGAAAACUCGUAGGCACCGGAUCAGUGAUGGAUAAUUAUGCCGGAUGCGGUUCAUCAUGUAACAGUCAUAACAUAGGGUGACACAGAACUAGCUCCAAUUCAUCAAUGUAAUGUAGGCAUGUAUUCUGUAUAUAGUCAUAUGUGCUUAUGGAAAAGAACUUGCAUGACAUCUUUUGUCCUACCCUCCCGUGGCAGCGGGGUCCUAUUGGAAACUAAGGGAUAUUAAGGCCUCCUUUUAAUAGAGAACCGGAACAAAGCAUUAACACAUAGUGAAUACAUGAACUCCUCAAACUAUGGUCAUCACCGGGAGUGGCCCCGAUUAUUGUCACUUCGGGGUUGCCGGAUCAUAACACAUAGUAGGUGACUAUAGACUUGGAAGAUAGGAUCUAGAAAUCACAUAUAUUCAUGAAAACAAAAUAGGUUCAGAUUGGAAAUCAUGGCACUCGGGCCCUAGUGACAAGCAUUAAGCAUAGCAAAGUCAUAGCAACAUCAAUCUCAGAACAUAACGGAUACUAGGGAUCAAACCCUAACAAAACUAACUCGAUUACAUGAUAAAUCUCAUCCAACCCAUCACCGUCCAACAAGCCUACGAUGGAAUUACUCACGCACGGCGGUGAGCAUCAUGAAAUUGGUGAUGGAGGAUGGUUGAUGAUGACGACGGCGACGAAUCCCCCUCUCCGGAGCCCCGAACGGACUCCAGAUCAGCCCACCCGAGAGGUUUUAGGGCUUGGCGGCAGCUUCGUAUCGUAAAACGCGAUGAUUUCUUCUCUCCGAUUUUUUUCUCGCCAAAAGCAAAUAUAUAUAGUUGGAGUUGGCGUCAGAGGGUCUCUAGGGGGCCCACAAGGUAGGGGCGCCCUAGGGGGCGCCCCCCACCCUCGUGAGAAGGGUGUGGGCCCCCUGGUCUUCAUAUUUGGCGAGGAUUUUUUAUUAUUUUUUCUAAGACCUCCCAUGGAGUUUCAGGUCAUUCCGAGAAUAUUUGUUUUCUGCACAUAAAACAACACCAUGGUAAUUCUACUGAAAACAGCGUCAGUCCGGGUUAGUUCCAUUCAAAUCAUACAAAUUAGAGUCCAAAACAAGGGCAAAAGUGUUUGGAAAAGUAGAUACAAUGGAGACGUAUCAGAAUGAUCUGGCAAAAGAACUUGAGAAGGACAAGCACGAUUGAAAUAAGCCAUCGGAGACAUGAACAAGACUCGUAGAGCUUGAUGACAUUGAAGAUUUAUUGACCUUUAGAGGACCCAACCCCUGUUAUAUACCUACAUUAGAUGCGACAUUUGUGAGCUGUCAUUUGUUUGAUGUUUUUCCGACAACCACAGAUAAAAUAUGUCUUUUCAAAACCAUUGUUUGUAUUGUGUGCAUCCUUCUCCCUCUCUCUCAUCUCACCCCAAAAACCAUGGACCCAAUAGAGGAUGAAUGGAGAUGAACUCAUAUUUUCUGGACCGAUGAUUCAAUUGGAGACAGACCGAUGGAUUUAGAACAUGGAAGAUCAUAUGAAGAAUAACACUAUAGCCGGAAAGGAUAUGGCCCAGCAUGCUCUUCAGUGCUUUGAAAGAGGUGCUACUACUUGGUCGAGGAUGUACCAAACCAUGAAUGGAUGGCAAGGUGUAACCACUUGGAAAGAAUUUAAGUUAACUCUGCAAAGAUCUCAUCUUGUGUCCUAGAAGUUGAAGCCUUAUGGAAAGGAUAUGAAGAAACCUUGUGGAUGCAAGAUUUGUGGAGAAAUAGGACACACCCAUAAAGAACACAAGGAUGAAUGCCCUAAUUGUGAAGGAAGUCACCAAGUUGAAGAAUGCCCAACUAGGCAGAUUACGUGUUUCUUGUGUGAAGGGACUACCCACUAUCCUGCUCAGUGUCACAUUUACCCCAUGGUACGAAGAACCGUACAGCAGAAGAAAGAAGUAAAGAAAGGAGCCCUUAUGGAAAUUUUAGAAGAACCCGUGAUGAAGGAAGAUGUCGGGGACACACCCAAAGAAGAACCAAUUAAACCCUGCACCAAGUCAUGCUAUUCAUGUGGAGAAGAAGGACACAUCUCCCAGAAUUGUAUGAAUGGGGAUCUAGUAGAAUUCCCGACGGAGGAAGUUGUAACACCCCGGAUGUAAUUUACCUUAUCUGUACUCCAACUCUUGCCGUUUCCGGCCAAAGUUAUUUUAUUUCCUCUGUUUCGGGUUUUUGUCUCCGUGUGUUGUGGCCUUUGUCAUGCAUCUCUUAUCAUGUCAUCAUGUGCAUUGUAUUUGCAUACAUGUUCGUCUCAUGCAUCCGAGCAUUUUCCCCGUUGUCCGUUUUGCAUUCCGGCGCUCCUAUCUCCUCCGGUGCCCCUUUCUACCUCUUUUUGUGUGUGGGGGUUAAACAUUUCCGGAUUGGACUGAGACUUGCCAAGCGGCCUUGGUUUACUACCAGUAGACCGCCUGUCAAGUUUCGCGCCAUUUGGACUUUGUUUGAUACUCCAACGGUUAACCGAGGGACCGAGAAGGCCUCGUUUGUGUUGCAGCCCAGCACCCUUCCAAUUUGGCCCAAAACCCACCUAAACCCUCUCCAUCAUAUAGAGCGUUCGGUCACGAUCGCGUGGCCGAAAACCGCACCUCAUUUGGAGCUUCCUAGCUCCCUCUACCUAUAAAACUAGCCCCUCCUCCGAAAUUCGCGGAUCAUUCUACCCUAACCCUAAAAAGUUUGUUCUCGCCGCCGCCGGACAUGUCCACCGCCUAACGGACAUCCCGCCGCCGCCAACCUCCGCCUGACACAUGGCAUCCGCCGCCCCACAUCACCGCCAACUGCGCCGGCCCGCGGGGAGCCCCCGCGGCCCAUCUUCGUUGACCCGCGCCCAAGGCGCCAGGGACUCGCUGCGCCGCCCGCCUACCUCAGCGCGUCGCCACCUCCAUCCAACUCCGGAGCCGCCGCAUGCCAUUUCCGGAGGCCACCAUCCGCCAGAGCUCGCUGUCGCCUCCGCAGGACGCCGCCCCGGCGGGAAGCUCACCGCGCCCGGAGUCCCUGUUGCCGGCCGCCGCCCCGACGAGCUUCCCGGGCCGGACCCCUCAUCUCCGGCGCCUCCCCGCAUCCCCGCCGGCCGCUGCUUCUUCUUCCCUGACAUCGCCGACGAUCCUCGUUUUCCGUGCCCUGCUAUAGUAUCGGUUGGAUCCAGAUCUGGAUCUGUGAGGGUUGACUUUCAUCCCCAAGCCCUAAUUAUUUUCCAAACUUUGGCAUGUCAUGACUCCGCAUCCGUAGCUCCGAUUUGUGCGUGUAGCAUAUCAAAAUGUCCGUCUCGACGAGUACAUCAUUUCAUCUCAUUGCACCAUUUUCAUUUGAGCUCAUCUUGAUGCCCGAAAUGUUGUUGGAAGAGGGCUAUGUGAGGAAUUUGUCAGAUCUGUUUCAUCAAAUGGCAUUUUGUCAUUUUUUCCAUGAUUAAUGUGUGCAUGCUAUAAUCCUGAGCUCUACCUAUGUUUUGUUAUAUGCCAUGCCAUCUUUACAGAGGUUCUUACCAUGUAUUUUUGUGAUAUUUGUGGUGACUAGCACAAGCUUGGAAAGUAGCAUAAUCGGUAAUGCUGAUUUCAGGGACUUAGAAUUUCACUAAUCCUUGUUCUGUUUUUGUCGUUAUGCCUUAUGUUCAUGUUGUUUCCUAGUGAUCCGUGCCUCUUUUAAGGAUGAUCGGUAAGGAUGUUUUGUUAACAUUGUGGUGCUCUAUCCAUACAUGUCUUUGUUUGCAUUUAUGGAGCAACCUAGCUUGAGUCAAUCGAGCUCUACUUUUGCUAUAAAGUGAAUCCUGGCAGAUUGUUGACAUGUUUAGCGAGUUUGCCGAGGAUGUUGCUAUUGAUCCGUGCAUGCUAUGAUGUUGUUCUUGCCUUGUCUAGCUUCUAUGUCAUGUAUUCUUCAUGGGUGUAUGCUUAGUUUGUCAUGCCAUGCUCUGUAGUGAGUGCAUCGAGCUCGUAAACAUGCCUACUCGUUAACUGAUUUGCAUGCUCCAGUUUUUCGCUAAGUCUAAAUCUGUUUGUGUUUUUGCCAUGUUCACAUGCUUGCAAUUGUAUUUUAUGAUCCCUUUUGGCUCAAGGUCACUAAGGGACUUUUGCUAAGUGCUUUUAGUAGCUUCAUGCCAUGCCUUGCUUUGCCAUGUUAAGUGCCUGUAGCAUGUAGUUUUCAUGCUCUAAAGUGUGCUUCCUGAUGAUAAAUUCCAGACUUGUGUUAAUUUCACUAAGUGUGAAACCUGUUAUCAUUUGCACUUUUGUCAUGCUUGUUUGAACCUGUUAAUGGAUGAAUUAGCCGUAGCUCAGUGUUAAUCUUUUCUCAAGAAUCAUGAGUGGAUCCCUUCCAUGUAUUUUUUUUGUCAUGUUGGAGUGCUGUAGCAUAUUUAUCUUGAUGCAUUUAGUUGGUCAGUUGCUGAUUAUCGCAGAUCGGUGCCAUAUUUGUUUUGCUUGCCAUUUCCAAACCGUGUAUCCGAUUCCGGUGAUCUUUAUAUCGAUUGCAACCGAAAUCACCUCACCUUUCCAGUGGUACUCUUGUAUUUCCAAGUUGAGGCCAGGUUCAAUCAUUCCAUGUCAAAUCUUGCAUAUGCAUCACAUACCGCAUCCCGCAUAUCAUACCAUGUUUGCAUCAUGUUGUUUGAGCAUUGCACGUGGUUGAUUGUGUUCCGUUUGCUUGUUGUUCUUGUUUGGGUAGAGCCGGGAGACGAGUUCGUGAACGAGGAGCCCGUUGAGUUCGCUUACGAGGAUCAAGUCAACUCUGACAACUUUCCAAGCAAGAUGAUCAUACCCUCGAAAUCACUUCUAUCUUUGCUUGCUAGAUGCUCGCUCUUUUGCUAUGCCUAUGCUAUGAUACCUACCACUUUCUUAUCAUGCCCCCCAAAUUGCCAUGUCAAACCUCUAACCCACCAUGUCCUAGCAAACCAUUGAUUGGCUAUGUUACCACUUUGCUCAGCCCCUCUUAUAGCGUUGCAAGUUGCAUGUGAAGAUUGGAGAUCGUUCCUUGUUGGAACAUUGUUUAUUGUUGGGAUAUCACUAUAUUAUUUUGCUUAUCUUAAUGCAUCUAUAUACUUGGUAAAGAGUGGAAGGCUUGGCCUUUUGCCUAGUGUUUUGUUCCACUCUUGCCGCCCUAGUUUCCGUCAUAUCGGUGUUAUGUUCCCGGAUUUUGCGUUCCUUACGCGGUUGGGUUAUAAUGGGAACCCCUUGACAGUUCGCCUUGAAUAAAACUCCUCCAGCAAGGCCCGACCUUGGUUUUACCAUUCGCCACCUAGCCUUUUUCCCUUGGGUUUCGCGGACUCAAGGGUCAUCUUUAUUUUAAACCCCCGGGACAGUGCUUCUCUAAGUGUUGGUCCAACCCAGAGCACCGUGCGGGGCCUUCCCUUGGCAACUUGGGUUACGUUGGCUCCCAUACGCUUAGCUUAUCCGAUGUGCCCUGAGAACGAGAUAUGUGCAGCUCCUAUCGGGAUUUGUCGGCACAGCGGGUGGUCUUGCUGGACUUGUUUUACCAUUGUCGAUGAUGUCUUGUAACCGGGAUGCCGAGUCUGAUCGGAAUGUCUCGGGAGAAGGAAUAUCCUUCGUUGACCGUGAGAGCUUGUGAUGGGCUAAGUUGGGACUCCCCUGCAGGGAUUUGAACUUUCGAAAGCCGUGCUCGUGGUUAUGGGCAGAUGGUAAUUUGUUAAUGUCCGGUUGUAGAUAACAUGAAACUUAACUUCAUUAAAAUGAAUCAACCGCGUGUGUAACCGUGGUGGUCUCUUCUCGGCAGAGUCCGGGAAGUGAACACUGUGUUGGAGUAAUGCUUGGCGUAGGUUGUUCUAGGAUCACUUCUUGAUCAUAGUUGUUCGUCCGUGCUUUGCUUUCACUUCUCGCUCUCUUUUGCGAAUAGGUUAGCCACCAUAUAUGCUAGUCGCUUGCUGCAGCUCCACAUCAUACCUUGUCUUACCUAUAAGCUUAAAUAGUCUUGAUUGCGAGGGUGCGAGAAUGCUGAGUCCCUGUGACUCAUAGUUUACUUCCAAAACCAGAUGCAGGGACCGAUGAUACCAUUCCAGACGAUGCUCUUGAGCUCAAGUGGGAGUUUUAUAAAGACUCUCGCCGUUACUAUGUGUAUUUCCCAGAUGAUCAGUAGUGAUGCCUAGUUGGGGCGAUCGGGGACUUUGUCGCAUGUGGGGGUUGAUCUUUAUUUUGGUACUGUAGUCGAACCAUGAGUGUAUUGGAUGAUUGUAAUGUUAUUCAUGUAUUUGUGUGACAUGGCGAGUGUAAGCCAACUAUGUACAUUUUCCCCUUUUAUCUAUUUACAUGGGUUGUUGUGAAGAUUACCUUACUUGUGACAUUGCUUUCAAUGUGGUUAUGCCUCUAAGUCGUGCUUCGACACGUAGGAGAUAUAGCCGCAUCGAGGGUGUUACAAGUUGGUAUCAGAGCCUUCCCCGACCUUAGGAGCCCCCUGCUUGAUCGAAUCAUUGGCGUUGUUGAGUCUAGAAAAAUGUUUUGAGUCUUUUAGGAAUUAUAUAUACUGGAGAGUUAGGAAUUCUUUUUACUCCCCAGUCCCUUCAUCGCUCUGGUAAGGCAUCCUGACGUAGAGUUUUGACUCUUCUCUUCUCAUAUUUCACUAAAAUUUUAUUUUUAGGAUCACGCGGGUAUCUUGGAAUCGUUCUGAUCGAUUUGUGAUGAGAGCAUUGUUCUUGGUGCCUCCUGUCAUUUAGGGGUUGUGGCAGUGUCCCGGGGAGUUGAGCUUCGAGGUGUUGUCGUCACAAUUUUAUCGUUGAGAUUCUGUAAUACCUGAGUUUCGCCGACAUAGAAAAUCUCUUUUAUGAAGUUGUUGGUGAGAUAACCUCGACGCCACCCAGUACUGGGGCGAGAGUUCGGGAGUAUUGCCAUAACUCGUAUAACGGAUGCUUUUCGAAGGUUGAGGUAAAUGAUUUCUGAAGUUUUUCUCGGUUAUGUGUUGAAGAAUGGAUACAGCUGGAUGUAGGAUUUGCUAGAUUUGGGUGAGAUAUUAUGCUUCCCCUGUAUCCCCAACACCUGGUUGCAUAACCGGAAAGGUUCGGGAGUUUCAUAGGUGGGAAUUCUUGUAGCUCUAGUUCUUCUUCCGCGGAUAUUUGGUUUGGGAUUGGGUAAUCCUCACCAAGUAUUUGUUCUUGUCCAUACCUUUUGGUUUUAUUCUUCUACCUCAAUUCUAAGUGGCUUCUCAAUUUAUGGAUAUGUGACCAUUUCAAUUGGAAUUCAUUCGUUCAUUUUGUUCGGAUGUGAAGACUUUAUGUUGCAAUUUCAACCCGUUUGAUUCAGCUUCAAUAUUUGUCUGUCAAUGUGCUAACGGAUGUCAAUCUCUUCAGGAUGGCUCCUCCAACGCACACGACUCCGAAUCCUGAUCCGCCACCACCACCUCCACCUCCGGAGGCAUGGCAAGCUGUGAUGGCCGCUACUAAUUCAACCACGCAGCUGAUCAUGCAACUUCUUCAAGAGCGCAACCAAGGGAACCAGGGUCAUGGCAAUAAUCAGAAUCAGUUUGCUACACUCAACCAGUUCCUCGCUAACCAGCCAAAGACCUUCAGCAAUUGUGUUGAGGCAACAGACGCUGAUGAUUGGCUCAUGGACAUAUGCAAGCAUUUCGAGUGCAGUAACGUCAUGCCUGAGGACUUUGUCAAGUUCGCCUCCUUCCAACUCAAAGACCAAGCUGCAGAAUGGUUUUAGCAGUACAAAGAUUCUAGAAGAGGCCGUGUGAUUACCUGGGAUGAAUUCCGUCAAGACUUCAAAGCUCAUCAUAUUCCUCAAAGUGUGGUUGAAAGCAAGCGUGAGGAAUUCCGCAACCUGAAGCAAGGCACUAUGUCUAUUUAUGAGUACAACAAAAUGUUUCAGAAGCUCGCCCGUUUUGCUAAGCAAGAUGUCCCUGGCGAGAAGAGCAUGAUAUACUAGUUCAGCGGUGGUCUCAGAGAAGAACUCCAGCUAGCUCUCGUCCUCUUUGAGCCCAAGAGGUACGAUGAGUUUUACAACAUGGCAAUGAAGCAAGAGACUGCUCAACUGAAGUGCGAUGCUUCCAAGAAGCGAGUCAGAGAUGCAACUCCUUCUUCCUCAACUCAAGUGGCUAAGCAACAGAAGUAUUGGCUUCCUCCUCCUCCAUUUCGUCAGUCUUAUCAGCAGAAGAGCAAAGGUGAUAUGACUUCUUCCAUUUAAUUAAAUGAAAGGGGAUUUGAAAAUAUUUGAAUUUCAUUUGGAAAUAUUUUUCAAAUUCAGAAACUUUAUGCAACUCAAUGAUUUUCACGAGAGAAGGUAAAAUGAAUUCUUCAAAACAUAUGAAAUAUGAGUUGGGAGUUUGAAAGAAUCAAAUUUUAAAGUCCCUUUUAAAUUAUUUUCAAUUUGAAGUUAUUUGGAUCUUAUUCGAAUUGUUUUUCUCCAAAAAUAAAAUAUAGGAAAAUAGGGUAACAUGAUUCCUUACAAUAGAAAAAUGGAGAGAAAUAAAUUUGAAUUAAUUUUGAUAUUUUUAAAAUGAUGUUUACUGGAUUUUACUAGAGCAAUAGCACUCUUUACUUUAUUUGAAUUUUUGUGGAUUUUAUCUGACACUUUGUAGAAAAUCUUUUUUCUCAAAAUUUUGAUAUAUAAUAUGCUUAUAUAUCAUUUUAUUUUAUUUUUGUUAUUCGGUUUUCCUUCUGUUUCUAUUUAGAAAAAAAUGAUAGUAACUGUACAUGCGGUCCAUAGUUAUUUACCGCCCACACGCGUAGCAUAGUGGCAGUGAGCGCCUCAUUUUUUUUUCUCUCCUAAAUGGGCCAGGCCCAGCCAGCCUUUUUGUUUUUUUACUUAGGCCGAUUUUUGUUUAAAAAAACUGCAGCCCGUGUACGCGUGCGGCGGCCGAUGGUUCAAGCCCAUGCGGUUCUCUUCUGUUUCGUUUAAUUAUGUCUACAUUUAGUCCCAAAUUGCCUAGCCUUUUGUCAUGCCCUCGAUGCGGCUAUAUCUCCCACGUGUCGAAGCACGACUUAGAGGCAUAACCGCAUUGAAAGCAAUGUCGCAAGUGAGGUAAUCUUCGCAAACAACCCAUGUAAGACAUAAGGAAAAAGAUACAUAGUUGGCUUAAAUCGCCACUUCACACAAUUACAUGAAUAAAGCAUUACAUCAACCAGAUACAAUCAAGGUCCGACUACGGAACCAAAAUAAAAGAAGAACCCCAAAUGCGACAAAGGUCCCCGAUCGACCCCAACUGGGCUCCACUACUGAUCAACUAGAACGGAACAACAUGAAGGACAAGGUCUUCCUCGAGCUCCUCCUGAGCUUGGUUGCGUCAUCUGCACGGACUCAUCGGCACCUGCAAACUGGUUUUGGAAGUAUUUGUGAGCCAUGGGGACUCAGCAAUCUCGCACCCUCGCGAUCAAGACUAUUUAAGCUUAUGGGUAAGGUAAAGGUAUGAGGUGGAGCUGCAGCAAGCGACUAGCAUAUAUGGUGGCUAACAUACGCAAAUGAGAGCGAGAAGAGAAGGCAAAAUACAAUCGAGAAAGUAUGAUCAAGAAGUGAUCCUAAACAACCUACGGCAAGCAUAACUCCAACACCAUGUUCACUUCCCGGACUCCGCCGGAAAGAGACCAUCACAGUUACACACGCGGUUGAUGCAUUUUAAUUAAGUUAAGGUUCAAGUUAUCUACAACUGGACAUUAACAAAUUCCCAUCUGCCCAUAACCGCGGGCACAGCUUUCGAAAGUUCAAAUCCCUGCAGGGGUGUCCCAACUUAGCCCAUGACAAGCUCUCAUGGUCAACGAAGGAAUAGACCUCCUCCCGAGAUAUUCCGAUCAGACUCGGUAUCCCGGUUCUACAAGACAUUUCGACAGGGUAAAACUAAACCAGCAACACCGCCUGAAUGUGCCGACAAAUCCCGAUAGGAGCUGCACAUAUCUCUUUCUCAGGGCACACUCAGAUGAGCCAAACGUCAGGUAGGCCAGCCCAGAGUUGCCCCUGGUAGCCCCAGACAUUGCUCAUUUGGACCAACACUCAGAGGAGCACUGGCCCGGGGGGGUUAAAAUAAUGAUGACCCUCAGGAGCGCGACUCCCAAGGGAAAAGCGAAGGCUAGGAGGCGAAUGGUAAAACCAAUGUUGGGCAUUGCUGGAAGAGCUUUACUUAAGGAGAACUAUCAAGGGGUUCCCAUAAUAGCCCAACCGCGUAAGGAACGCAAAAUCCAGGAACAUAACACCGAUAUGACGGAAACUAGGGCGGCAAGAGUGGAACAAAACACCAGGCAUAAGGCCGAGCCUUCCACCCUUUACCAAGUAUAUAGAUGCAUUAAUUAAAUAAAAUAUAUUUUGAUAACCCAACAAGUAAACAUGUUCCAACAAGGAACAAUAUCUCCAUGUUCCAACAAGGAACAAACUUCAAUCUUCACCUGCAACUAACAAUGCUAUAAGAGGGGCUGAGCAAAGCGGUAACAUAGCCAAACAAUGGUUUGCUAGGACAGGGUGGGUUAGAGGCUUGGUUCAACAAUAUGGGAGGCAUGAUAAGCAAGUGGUAGGUAUCACAGCAUAGGCAUAGCAAAAGAGCGAGCAACUAGCAAGCAAAGAUAGAAGUGAUUUCGAGGGUAUGGUCAUCUUGCCUGAAAUCCCACAAGGAAGAAGAACGAGUCCAUGAAGAAGACAAACAGACAUAGACGAACGGGUCCUCACAAACAUGACGUUACAGGGACCAACCCGAAGAAGCAAACAUCAGAAAGAAACACACAACAUAGAAAACAACCAACACAUGAACAUGAUAUGAUAUGCGGGAUGCGGAAAGCGAUGUAUAUGCAUGAUGUGACAAGGAAUGCAUGAACCUGGCCUCAACAUGGAAAUCCAAGUGUGCCACUGAAAAGAUGAGAUGAAAUCGCUUAAAAACUAUAUAAAGAUCACCGGAAUCAGAGUUACGGUUUGGAAAUGGCAAGCAAUUCAAAUAUGGCACCGAUCUGCGAUAUACAGCAAGUAGCCAUCUAAAUGCAACAAGAUGAACAUGCUACAGCACUCAAACAUGGCAACAAUAUACAUGGCAGGGAUGCAUUCAAGAUGCUUAACAAAAGUCUGGCACUGAGCUACGGCCAAUUCAUCCAUUAACAGGUUCAAACAAGCGUGGCAAAAAUGCAUAUGACAAACAGAUCUCAGACUUAGUGAAAUUAACACUUGUCUGGAAUUUCAGAUCGGGUAGCACACUUUGGAGCAUGAAAACUAUAUGCUACAGGACCUAAACAUGGAAAAGUAAAGCAUGGCAUGGAGCUCCUCAAAGAGAUUAACAAAAGUCCCUUAGUGACCUUGAGCCAAAAGGGAUCAGAAAAUACAUUUGCAAGCAUGUGAACAUGGCAAAAACAUAAUCAGUUCUCAGACUUAGUGAAAACUGGACCAUGCUGAAAACAGAUAUCAAGUAGGCAUGUUAACGAGCUCGAUGCACUCACUACAGAGCAAGUCAUGAUAAUAUAAGCAUACACCCAUCAAGAAUACACAUUAUACAAGCUAGACAAGGCAAAAACAAUAGCAUAGCAUGCACGGAUCAACUACAACUUCCUCGGCAAAAUCGCUAACAAGUAGACAAUCUGCCCAGAUUCACGAAAUGACAAAAGUAGAGAUCGAUUGACUCAAGCUAGGAUGCUCCAUAAUUGCAAACAAAGACAUGGAUGGAUAGAGCACUACAAGAUUAACAAAACAUCCUUACUGAUCAUCCUCAAAAGAGGCACGGAUCACUAGGAAACAACAUGACCCUAUGGCCAAAUGAGAUAAACAGGUCAAGGACUUAGUGGAAAUGCUAAGUCCCUGAAAUCAGCAUUACCAAGUGCCUCACUUUACAAGCUUGUGCUAGUCACCACACACGUCACAAAAAUACAUGGGUUGCACCUCUGGAAAGAUGGAAAAACCCUUAACAAAACAUAUGUAGGGCUCAUGGGCAUAUCAUGCACACAAUAAUCAUGGCAAAAAUGACAAAUAUCUAAUUGGAGCAGCAGAUCUGACAAUCAACUCAAGUAGAACUCUUCCAACAGCAUUUCGAGCAUCAAGAUGAACUCAAAUGAAAAUGAUGCAAUGAGAUGAAAUGAUGUACUCUCUGAGGCGAACAUUUUGAUAUGCUAUAUGCCCAAAACGGAGCUACGGAUGCAAAGUUACGAUGCUAUGAACAUGAGCAUAAGAAACGUGGGAAACUCGGGGACUUAGUGAAAUUUAUACCACGGAUCCGGGACGAAGCGGUGCAGAUCUGAGACGGGACGUUUGGUUCGGGGAAGUGGUGGAUCUGAUCCACCCUCCACGGAUCCGGAGCGGGACGAGCUCCGGCGAACUCCGGCGAUGUGAGGUGGGGCUCCGGCGAGCUCCGGUUGCCAGAGGCGGCGAGGCGGGAGGCGCGGCGCGCGGGACCGGCAAUGGCGGCGACCCGGCCGGCGGCAGUGGCCCUCAAAGGGCGCGGCGGCGAGCAAACGCGGCAGCGCGGGUCGGCAGUGACGGAGCGGGCAGCAGCGCACAUCGGGCGAGGUGGCGGCGGCCAAGUCCCUGGCGGCGAUGGCGCUAGGCCCCGAGGAGAGCGGGAGCGAGGGGUCGGGCCCCCAUCGAGCGGCGGCGGCGGCGUUUCGGGCCGGGAGGGCCCGAUCCGGGCCCCGGCGAGCCGCGGCGGCGGGGAGGAAAGAGAGGGCGCGGGCGUGGGUGAGGUGGCGCGCCGUGGUUGGGCGAGGUGGUGGCGGAGCUGACGUGGCGGGCGCUGAUUCGCCGGAGUGAGGUGGCCGGUGGACGCGUCCGGCGCGGACGGACGUGUCCGGCACGAACGGACGUAUCCGGCGGCGCGAGGAGGGAGAUGGCUAGGGUUCAUCCGCGAAAUGAUCCGAAAUUUCGGGGAGGGGCACAUAUUUAUAGGUAGAGGGAGCUAGGAGAGUCCAAAUGAGGUGCGGUUUGCGGCCACGCGAUCGUGAUUGAACGCUCUAGAUGAUGGAGAAGGUUUUGGUGGGUUUUGGGCCAAAUUGGAAGGGUGUUGGGCUGCAACACACACGAGGCCUUUUCGGCCCCUCGGUUAACCGCUGGAGCAUCAAACGAAGUUCAAAUGGUACGAAACUUGACAGGCGGUAUACCGGUAGUAAACCAAGGCCGUUUGGCAAGUCUCGAUCCAAUCCGGAAAUGUUUAAUCCCCACACAUGAAAGAAGGUAGAAAUGGUCACCGGAGGAGAACGGAGCGCCGGAAUGCAAAACGGACAACGGAGAAAAUGCUUGGAUGCAUGAGACGAACACGUAUGCAAAUGAAAUGCACAUGAUGACAUGAUAUGCAAUGCAUGACACGCAAGCAAUGACAAGGCAACAACAGCGAAUAACUGGACGACACCUGGCACAUCGGUCUCGGGGCAUUACACCUUUGACCCCUAAACCUAUUUUUCGCCUAUAAAUAUAGACCCAUAGAGCCUCCAAAAAUCAUCUGAUUCGGGUUAAAUCAAUAUUUUGGUUUGACUAGAUUUAAAAAAUAUAUUUUUUUCUCCUCUCCGACGCGACUUCUGGAAGUUGUCUUCUCUCUCCAAAAUCAUAUUUUCUCUACCUUCUUCGUUUUUUAUACUUCCGUAGUUUAUUAUUUUCUAGACUAGUACGAUAAAAUAAUUAGAUUACCAAUUAGUCUUUGUAUUUAUACAUUAGACCUAAAAUUCUUUUAGUCAUAGCUAUUUUUCUUCCGUAAAAGAGCUUGGCCCUGAUUUUUUAAAUAGCCAUAACUUUUUACUCGUUCAUCCAAAUUAGAUGAAACCAAUGCCCACUUCUUCGUUACGAUCUCCUCUAUCCACUAAAACAACUUAAACAUGUUUUUCAAAGUUUUAAAAUUUGAAUUCAAACAUAUUUGUAUUCAAACUUCUUUUGUUCAUAACUUGAGUUUUAUAACUCCGAUUUAGUUGAUUCUUUUUGCAAAUCGAAGCUCUUGACUUGAACUUUCUGAUAAGGAAAAAUUCACAUAAUUUUGGUACUAUUAAAAAAAUUUUAUGUUGCAAGAGUUAUUUGUUGGUUUUGAUGUUUUCCGAACUGUCUUCUUCGUUCUUCCCGAUCUUUUGAGUGAUUGCUUAUGUGUGGUUACUAUUGCUUGCUCACGAUAGAUUGAACGGAGUGUGACGAGUAGAACUAUCAAGAGUUAUGAGUGUGAAUCAUAUUCAUCAACAGUACAAGGCAACUUCACACUUUGAUCAUAUCCCUUUCAUACCAAGUUUUUAUGCAUUAGUUUCACCCUCAAACAUUGCAUGAGUAGGAUUGAUAACAUGUGGGUAUUGGGAAGUAGUUGAUGAGGUAGAACCUAUUGUCCUUUAUAUCAAACCCUUGGGAGUUACUUCUACGUUAUGCUUAUAUUGCCAUGCUAUGCUCGUAGACGUGGAUUGGGUUUGAGUGUAUCCAUGACAGAUGUGAGAUUGUUAAUUAAUGGUUCAACUUAAGGUGGUUACUUUAAUACACAUCUGGGUGGAUUGGUUGGGGCACCCUAGAGUACCCAGUGGUUUGCCCGGGAACCUGGAGAACCCAGUGCUUGCCCAAGGGGAUCCUGGAGGACUCGUGUGAUCACCCUAUGGAAUGCCACCCAGGCUCAAAGGGAUCAUAAGAUUAUUCAUGCUAGAAACUUCCGUGUGCAGCCGCAAGCUAUUUUGGGCUCUAGCAUAGUUGAGUAAGUUGUGUGAAGCUCUUAAAGAGGUAGACUAGUAGAUGUAGUGGGUUGUAGGUGGUAUAGUCUAUCUCGAGUAGAGAGUUAAUGCUUCUGAAAGACUGUGUCUCGGUCAUCCGUUUCUCAAACACCAUGUAGUGCGAGAAAUCCAACGGAGGAGAUCGAUUCUUGUGGGGAAAAGUGUGCAAACCUCUGCAGACUGUACAAACUAAUCAUGGUUAGUCGUGUCCCCGGUUAUGGACAUCUUGAGUCUCUGGUACUUGGAUUAUCAUAUUGAUCUCAUCAUGUUACUUAAAUAAUUGGUUGGGUUAUUGAUGUUAAUUUGGGAUUGAGUUGGAGGAACCUUCUCAAUAUUUUCUACCAACUUUGUAGUUAAAUAAGUUAUAUUCCUUUGCAGUAGGGAAAAUUGGCUUUUCGCAAAAACAUUAUAACCAUAGAGCUUUUCCACCAGCCAUAUAUGCAUGUAGUGAUAGCUAUUAUUCAUUAUUAUCCUAUGGUGUGAAUUUGCCAGUACAUUCAAUGUAUUGACCCUUUGUGGCUGCAACGUCUCAUGUUGCUGGAUUCUUACGGCGAGUAAGUGAUACGUUAGGGUUAUGAUUUCUACACUCAACUUUGCCGUUGGUGUUGAUGGGAAUCCACAACCUUGUUGUUACUUCCGCUAUUUGGAUUGAGGUAAUAGUAUUUACGUUAUUUUAUACAUGUGAUUUACCUCUGUUAUAAAUCCUCGAGUAUUGUGUGUGUCAGCAUACCAAUCCAAGGAUGACACUUAAGCACAGAGACUUGACCGUCUGAGGUCGGGUCGCUACAUUUGUCCCCAAAGGUGGGACGUUCCCUACCGAAACCAUCAUGCUUGUUGUGAGAACCUCUGGUUUGUGAGAAGCAUAUACAAAAACCUGCCCCAAAUGGGAUAGAAAUUUUACAACGGCAUGUUGAUGCCACUCCAUGAUAGCAUGCCAAGUUGCAUGAAUUUCAGAUGAGUUUUGGAUUUACUAGAAUUUAAAAACCAGGUUACUCAAUGUUUGCGGCCGAGUGACGGUGCUAGGGUAUUUGACAUUCAUUCCCAUUUCUUGCAUGGGACCUAAGCAUGCAAUGAAGGACAAAUAUUUGAAUUUUCAACCAAUUUAUAUGCAUUAGAGCAUGUGCAUGUAGUUCAAAUUUGAAUUAUGCACAUAAAUGCAUGAAAACUCAAUUAAUGCAUAAAAAUGUCCAAAUGAACCCCGAAAAAUCACAAAAAAUUGACACCACACUCCUGUUGUUCUAUGUUGACACCAGAAUUUUUUUGAAAGCAAUAAGAGGCAAUGGAUAUCGUUUCGUCCCCAAAGGUGGGACGUUCCCUACCGAAACCAUCAGGCGUGUUCUGAGAAGCUCUGGUUUGUGAGAAGCAUAUCCCCAAACCUACCCCAAAUGGGACAAAAAAAUUACCAUGGAAUGUUGAUGCCACUCCAUGAUAGCAUGCCAAGUAUCAUGAAUUUUAGACGAGCUUUGGAUUUACUAGAAUUUAAAAACUAGGGAUCUCAAUGUUUGUGGUCGAGUGACGGUGGCAGGGUGUUUAACAUUCAUUCCCAUUUCUUACAUGGGACCUAAGCAUGCAACCAAGGACACAGAUUUGAAUUUUCAACUAAUUUAUAUGCAGUAGAGCAUGUGCCUAUAGUUCAAAUUUGAAUUAUGCACAUGAAUGCCUAGAAAACUCAGUUAAUGUAUAAAAAUGUCCAAGCGAACCCCGAAAAAUCCCAAAAAUUGACACAACACUCGUGUUGUUCUAUGUUGACACAAGAAACAUUUUCAAAGUAAGAAGAGGCAACAGAUAUCGUUUCGUCCCCCAAGGUGGCACGUACCCUACCGAAACCAUCAGGCUUGUUGUGAGAGAAGCUUUGGUUUGCGAGAAGCUUAUACCCACACCUACCCCAAAUGGGACAGUAUUUUUACCACGGCAUGUCGUUGUCGUUCCAUGAUAUCAUCUCAAGUUUCAUGAAUUUUAGACGAGUUUUCGAUUUACUAGAAUUACAAAAGCAAGUACCUCAACAUUUGCCGGAGAGCCACGGUGUCGUGGUGUUCGAAAUUCAUCCCAUUUCUUGCAUGGGACAUAAGCAUAAACCCAUGGACACAUAUAUGAUUUUACAACCCAUGUUGGUGCACCGGAGCAUGUGCAUGUGCUUUAAUUUUGAAUUGUGCACCUCAAAUGGCUAGAAAACCAAUUUAAUGUAUAAAAUUUCCAAACGAACCCUGAAUAAUUCCAAUUUUUUUACGACACACAUAUAGUUGCAUGUUCACUACAGAUAAAAGGUCUAGCAAUUCAAACACCAUCCAUUGCCACUGUGACCCCAUUAUGUAAUUCAAAUCAAGAUGAAAAAUCAAGUAGAUCCCACUCAGUUUAUUAUCAUGAACCGUGUGAGAUGCGGUACAAAAUAACCUGGAGCACCGUCAGUGUAUAGUAUGCCUAUGGCUUACGCGAGAAGGUGCGUCGGCUACAGUCCACAGCCGACGUGUCAAGCACACUAGCUUGCUCCACAAAUAUCAUUUCACUAUUCAAUCAUCGCCGGUGAAAGAUGGGGACGUGGACCCGCGUCGUGAGGGCAACUUCGGUGGCCCACUCCGGCGAGAGCACGGCCGCAGCCGCCAUGCGUGUGCUAACAAGGUGCAUGAGCGCGGCCGCAAUCUGCGACCGGGCGGCCAAGGCAGCCCAAAUGGCCGCUGUUGCUUCUCAGGUGGCGGCAUCAACAUCUGCCUCAGGGAUAGCAACUGGCGAGAGCGGCACAUCAGUUGUUCGUUCCAUAGCGGCGGCUUUAGCCCUGAUGGAGGCCGCCCAUGACCAUGUUGAGGCUGCCCACGCCCAGUUCGUGGCGGUCACCGCACAAAUCGAACGAAGCUUCUCCGACAAUGGAGGCAACCCAUGGCUGAAGAGUUGGCAAUCGCCGAGAGCGUUCGAGCAGACGUCCGUUCCUCCGAUGCAUACCUUGCAACGCGAAGCCCGUCCAAGCCCAGAUCGAAGCUGCCCACGCCCAGCUUGUGGCGGCCUUUUCCAAAGAGAUGGCGGACACGGAUGGUGAGAUGCUUGUCGAGUAUGGUGCAAUGGAUGCCAUGGAGCCCCUUCCCUAGGAGACCGUCGGGCGCGAGCUGGACAUGGAGGAGGUGGCGGAGAUCGACCAGCACCAGCCGUAGUAGUACUCUUUGUUUUGUUUAAUUAAGAGUGUCGGUCUUUAAUUUGUUAGAGUAAUGUUUAGGCCAGCUAGCUCUGUUUAAUUGUUGAACUUGCUUGAUUAAUAAGUGUGGGUGUGUUGUGUACCCAAAUUAUGCAAUGACGUGGAUGACCACUAUAACCAGGGAAAUUGGAACCAAAAUUUUUUACGUUCAAACUCAUCACACACGGGUUAAACUAUCUGAAUUGUUUGUGAUGUUCACAUAUCAUACACAGUUCUGAAUAAGGGACCGUGUCUGAUGACACUUUGCGCGCCAGCUUUUUCGCUAAAUCGAUUCAGUUUUUUCGGCUUCUGCAGAAAUAUCUACCUCCCCGCCCCUCCCCCUUACCAAAAGCCACAUUUCCCCUGUUUCCGCCUUCCUUUCCAAGUUGAAACCUUCACUCCUUGCUUGCAGUGCCGCCUCCUCGCCGACGACCCUCCUUCACGCUGCUCGGCCUCGUCUAUCUAGGUAGGUAAUCCACACCCGACCCCCAUCCUCAUCCUCCUUCCACAUCCCACAUGCCCCGACCGCUGGUGCGACACCUUCCACACAAAUCACCGACCCCUAGCUCCACCAAAUAAGCACCGCCCUAAGCCAUGGUGCAGCAGUAUAGCCAGGAGCUCAAGGAGCAUUUGGCAGCGGAGAGCAAAUCACGGCCGCACGCGCGGAUGAGGUCGUGAUGGCUGCCAUUCGUGCUGACCCCCAGAUCUUGGAGGAGCACCUUGCCAUUUGCUAGCUACGCUAGUUAAGAAUGCUCGAUUUACCCAUUGCAUGUGCUACUCCUGCCUUUCAUUAACAAAUUCUAGUGAAUUGUGCUAUCUAAUUUUACCAUGCAAUCUGUUUCUCUAGUGUAGAUGUUCUAUAUGUCGUGCAGUGUGGUGCUCACUUAUUAACUAUUUGGUUAAUUAGUUGUCGUCUUCAGUUAACUGUUUGGUUCAAUUAUACAAAUGUGAUGCUCAAUUCUUCAGGCUCCAAUUUUGUAUUGUCUUCCAUGUUUGAAAUAAAUCAAAUUUAUCUUUACAAAAUACAUGAGAAACGAAUACAAUUGCUAUAUUUCCAAGUUGUCAAGCAUGCUUGGUUUGGUUAUACAUUAUGCAAUGUGGUUCUCAGUUAACGUUUGGUUCGUUUGUGUUGUGAUGUUUAGUUAAUUGUUUGGUUCAAUUCUGCAAUGCGAUGUUCAAUAGUUGUGGGUGCAUUCUGUUAUUGUAUACCAUGUGAUAAGUAAAUCGAAUUUGGCUGUACCAAAUACAUGAGAAACAAAUAAAAUUGCUAUAUUUCCAAGAUGUUAAGCAUGCUUGGUUUGGUUAACUGUCUAAUCUUCUAUUAGGAGUAUGUUAUAUUGUGCGGGAUGGUACUCAGUUAAUGUUUGGUUCAUUUAUUGUGGUGUUUAGUUAACUAUUUGGGUCAAUUCUGCAAUGCGAUGUUCAAUUGUUGCGGGUGCAUUCUGUUAUUGUAUACCAUGUGAGGAAUAAAUUGAAUUUGGAUGUAGUAAAUACAUGAGAAACAAAUACAGUUGCUAUAUUUCCAAGUUGUUAAGCAUGCUUGGUUUGGUUAACUGUCUGAUCUUCUAUUAGGAGUAUGUUAUAUUGUGCAAUGUGGUGCUCAGUUAAUAUUUGGUUCAUUUGUUGUGGUGUUUAGUUAAAUACUUGGUUCAAUUCUGCAAUGCGAUAUCCAAUUGUCGUGGGUAGAAUUUUGUAUUGUUGUGCAUGUGAGGAAUAAAUCGAAUUUGGUUGCACUUAAUACAUGAGAAACAUAUACAAGUGCUAUAUUUCCUAGUUCUUAAUCAUGCUUGGUUUGGAUAACUGGGUUUUCCACGUGGCUUGAAUUAAUUUGAAGAAUAUGCAAUGUGCUUAUUUUUCAUCAACAUAUUUUACUCAUAGCAUGUGAACCCUUACUUAACUUGAUAACUAACUACCUUAUAUGUGUUGCAGGGAAACAAUGGGAAGCACUGAGGUUUACAAUCGAGGUUACACAUGCAUGGUCCGUUGUCUAAUAGCACAUUAUUGUGAAAUUGCAGGAACCAUUCUAAUAUUUAGGUUUUUAACAAUUUGGUCUUGCAUAUGUAGGUCAUGCUAUGAGAGGUUUUGACCCACUGUUCGACCCUUUUUGCAUAUGGGGAAAUAAGUUGUCCAUGAAUAUCAAUCAAGUCAAGAAACUCAGAAAGAUUGUUAGUGACAAAAAACAACAAGAUCUUUGUCUGCACAAUGAAGAAGACAUCAGUUCACUACAAGAUGGUACUAACUAUUAUACCCUGCCUUUUUAUUCCUUUGUCCUAUUUCCAAUAUAGAGAAGAUAUUUAUGCACAUCCUUGUUUUCAGGCCUUUCCAAAGUAGUUCACUGAUGAUUACCUCUCAAACCACCUCUAUGGUUAGGAGGCGAGGAAGGCUUUCAUACAACACCCACGGUUCAAUAUUGAAGUGUUUCUGAAAAGGACGAAGGACGGACGGUCAAUCAUCCACAGGCACUGGCCUAAAGUUGCAAAGACCUUUAACAUGAAUGAAGGCUCAAUAUUCGCCUUCCGCUUCAGCAGUUUUCCAGAUGAGAUGCAUCUGUCUAUGUACCAUCUAUGAUGAUAAUUUUGAAAGGUUCUACAUGUUGCAUGUGAAACUUGGUGCUGGUGCAGUUGUGUAAUGGGGUAGCUGAGUGCUGAAGCUAUAUCAUGUUGUACUCUGAUGUAUUUCAAUUCAGAAAUCCUACUUCCUUAAUAUGGAAAUGAAAUAUAUUAUCUGCUUAAUAUGAAUGUCAAUUAGAUUAAUAAAUGGAUUAUUAACAAUAGGGUAAUUAGCCUACUAAUGGCGAAUUAGCCUGCUAAUUGGGUUUUGCUAUUGCAAAUGGUUAUUGAGAAAAUACCGUGGGCGAUGACCUCAGGCAAUGCACACAGUUUCUAGGAAUAAACCGUGUUGGAUCAAUGAACAAUCACACACGGCCUUCUUCUGGAAACUGUUUGCGUUAGGCCACCUUGCGCAAAUGUUUACCACAUAAACACUGUGUGUGAUGGACAGCCUUUGCCACAUAGUUUCUUCUACGCACCGUGUGUGAUGCAUUCAAUAACGCAGACGAUAAAAUUGUUAAUAUCGUGUGUGAUGUACCUGCGAACGGAAACGUUUUCCUUGGAGCGACAAUGUGGGGUGUAUAUACGAACCGAAACGUUUAGCAGGGACUGACUGUGUGGGAUGUACUUACGACCAGAAACGAUUUCGUCUAUAUAAUUGUAUUUUUAGCACUACCGUACAUAUAACCGUAUUUGAUCGCUCGCCGGUCGCACACGAGCUAAUUUUGCCGAGCGUGUGUGCCAGGAGGGCAUAUCCCCGACGGUCUAUGGGUCGUGUGGGAAGGACCCCCUAUCUCCCACACUCACUUGGCGGCGGUUCCAAAUGCCAUCACGGAAAGGGGUUAAAACCGUUUGUAUAGCACCUCGCUAUACCAGUGUUAGCAAGGAAUGGUAGGGGCAAUCAAAGUAGAAUAGCCUGCGAAUUUGAUGGCAACGGAUUAAAAUAGAGGAAAACUCAAACGCUCUUUGCCAAUAACACAUCAUAGAGGCAGGAUUUUCAAGGACAAAUCAGGGUACAUCUAAGUGCCUUGAUGAACAUGAAAAUAAAAAAUAGAAUUUCUAAUACCCACCUAAUUAAUGUCACUCUUUAUUGGACCAAAAACGGUGAUAAUCCAUGGUACAGCCCCUGGAAAGAGGGAGAGAGAGGGAGGGAGAUGGGAAGAAGUGUUGGGGAAUGUAGUAAUUUCAAAAAAAAUCCUACGCACACGCAAGAUCAUGGUGAUGCAUAGCAAUGAGAGGGGAGAGUGUGGUCCGCGUACCCUCGUAGACCAUUAAGCGGAAGCGUUGUAACAACACGGUUGAUGUAGUCGUACGUCUUCACGAUCGACCGAUCCUCAGCACCGAAUGUACGGCACCUCCGCGUUCAACACACAUUCAGCUCGGUGACGUCCCGCGAACUCACGAUCUAGUAGAGCUCGGGGAAGAGUUUCGUCAGCACGACGGCGUGGUGAUGAUGUUGAUGAAGCUACGGACGCAGGGCUUCGCCUAAGCACCGCUACGAUAUAACCGAGGUGGAUUAUGGUAGACGGGGGCACCGCAAGAGAUCAAUAGAUCAAUUAUUGUGUCUCCAAGGGGUGCCCCCCUCCCCGUACAUAAAGUAGGGAGAGGAGGAGGGGCGUCCAAGGAGGAGGAGGCGCGCCCAAGGGGGGCAAUCCUACUCCAAGUAGGAUUCCCCGCUCUUUCCUAGUCCUAGUAGGAGAGGGGAAGGAAGGGGAGGAGAAGAAGAAGGAAAGGGGGGCCGGCCCCCUAGUCCAAUUCGGCUUCGGCUAGGGGGCUGCACGUCCCUAGCUGGCCUCCUCUCCUCUUCCUCCACUUGGGCCCAUAAAGCCCAAUAACCCCCCGGGAGGUUCCGGUAACCUCCCGGUUCUCCGGUAUUUAUCCGAUAACCCCCAAAACUCAUCCGGUGUCCGAAUAUAACCUUCCAAUAUAUCGAUCUUUACGUCUCGACCAUUUCAAGACUCCUCGUCUUGUCCGUGAUCAUAUCCAGGACUCCAAACUACCUUCGGUACAUCAAAACACAAAAACUCAUAAUACUGAUCGUCAUAGAACUUUAAGCGUGCGGACCCUACAGGUUCGAGAACUAUGUAGACAUGACCGAGACACGUCUCCGGUCAAUAACCAAUAGCGGAAACUGGAUGCUCAUAUUGGUUCCUACAUAUUCUAUGAAGAUCUUUAUCGGUCAAACCGCAUAACAACAUACGUUGUUCCCUUUGUCAUCAGUAUGUUACUUGCCUGAGAUUCGAUCGUCGGUAUCUCAAUACCUAGUUCAAUCUUGUUACCGGCAAGUCUCUUUACUCAUUCCAUUAUGCAACAUCUUGCAACUAACUCAUUAGUCACAUUGCUUGCAAGGCUUAUAGUGAUGUGCAUUACCGAGAGGGCCCAGAGAUACCUCUUCGACAAUCGGAGUGACAAAUCCUAUUCUUGAUCUAUGCCAACUCCACGAACACCAUCGGAGACACCUGUAGAGCACCUUUAUAAUCAUCCAGUUAUGUUUUGACGUUUGGUAGAACACAAAGUGUUCCUCCGGUAUUCGGGAGUUGCAUAAUCUCAUAGUCAUAGGAACAUGUAAAAGUCAUGAAGAAAGCAAUAGCAGUAAACUUUAAAUGAUCAAGUGCUAAGCUAACGAAAUGGGUCAAGUCAAUCACAUCAUUCUCCUAAUGACGUGAUCCCAUUAAUCAAAUGACAACUCAUGUAUAUGGUUAGGAAACAUAUCAUUGAUUCAACGAGCUAGUCAAGUAGAGGCAUACUAGUGACAAUCUGUUUGUCUAUGUAUUCACACAUGUAUUAAGUUUUCGGUUAAUACAAUUCUAGCAUGAAUAAUAAACAUUUAUCAUGAAAUAAGGAAAUAAAUAAUAACUUUAUUAUUGCCUCUAGGGCAUAUUUCCUUCCGUCUCCCACUUGCACUAGAGUCAAUAAACUAGAUUACAUAGUAACGAUUCUAACACCCAUGGAGUCUUGGUGAUGAUCAUGUUUUGCUCGUGGAAGAGGCUUAGUCAGCGGGUCUGCAACAUUCAGAUCUGUAUGUAUCUUGCAUAUCUCUAUGUCUCCCACCUGGACUUGAUCCUGGAUGGAAUUGAAGUGUCUCUUGAUGUGCUUGGUUCUCUUGUGAAAUCUGGAUUCCUUUGCAAAGGCAAUUGCACCAGUAUUGUCACAAAAGAUUUUCAUUGGACCCGAUGCACUAGGUAUGACACCUAGAUCGGAUAUGAACUCCUUCAUCCAGGCUCCUUCAUUUGUUGCUUCCGAAGCAGCUAUGUACUCCCCUUCACACGUAGAUCCCGCCACGAUGCUUUGUUUAGAACUGCUCCAACUGAUAGCUCCGCCGUUCAAUAUAAACACGUAUCCGGUUUGCAAUUUAGAAUCGUCCGGAUCAGUGUCAAAGCUUGCAUCAACGUAACCAUUUACGAUGAGCCCUUUGUCAGCUCCAUAAAUGAGAAACGUAUCCUUAGUCCUUUUCAGGUAUUUCAGGAUGUUCUUGAUCGCUGUCCAGUGAUCCACUCCUUGAUUACUUUGGUACCUCCCUGCUAAACUAAUAGGAAGGCACACAUUAGGUAUGGUACAUAGCAUUGCAUAUAUGAUAGAGCCUAUGCCUGAAGCAUAGGGAACACUUUUCAUUUUCUCUCUAUCUUCUGUAGUGGUCGGGCAUUGAGUCUUACUCAACUUCACACCUUGUAACACAGGCAAGAACCCUUUCUUAGCUUGAUCCAUUUUGAACUUCUUCAAAACUUUAUCAAGGUAUGUGCUUUGUGAAAGUCCAAUUAAGCGUCUUGAUCUAUCUCUAUAAAUCUUGAUGCCCAAUAUAUAAGCAGCUUCACCAAGGUCUUUCAUUGAAAAACUCUUAUUCAAGUAUCCUUUUAUGCUAUCUAGAAAUUCUAUAUCAUUUCCAAUCAACAAUAUGUCAUCCACAUAUAAUAUUAGAAAUGCUAUAGAGAUCCCACUCACUUUCUUGUAAAUACAUGCUUCUCCAAAAGUCUGUAUAAAACCAUAUGCUUUGAUCACACUAUCAAAACGUUUAUUCCAACUCCGAGAGGCUUGCACCAGUCCAUAAAUGGAUCGCUGGAGCUUGCACACUUUGUUAGUACCCUUUGAAUCGAUAAAACCUUCAAGUUGCAUCAUAUACAACUCUUCUUCCAGAAAACCAUUCAGGAAUGCAGUCUUUACAUCCAAUUGCCAAAUUUCAUAAUCAUAAAAUGCGGCAAUUGCUAACGUGAUUCAGACGGACUUAAGCAUCGCUACGGGUGAGAAGGUCUCAUCGUAGUCAACUCCUUGAACUUGUCGAAAACCUUUUGCAACAAGUCGAGCUUUGUAGACAGUAAUGUUACCGUCAGCGUAAGUCUUCUUCUUGAAGAUCCAUUUAUUCUCGAUGGCUUUCAUCGGGCAAGUCAACCAAAGUCCACACUUUGUUCUCAUACAAGGAUCCCAUCUCAAAUUUCAUGGCUUCAAGCCAUUUUGUGGAAUCUGGACUCAUCAUCGCUUCCUCAUAGUUCGUAGGCUCGUCAUGGUCAAGUAACAUGACCUCCAGAACAGGAUUACCGUACCACUCUGGCGCGGAUCUUACUCUGGUUGACCUAUGAGGUUCAAUAGUAACUUGAUCUGAAGUUUCAUGAUCAUCAUCAUUAGCUUCCUCGCUAAUUGGUGUAGGUGUCACAGGAACCGAUUUCUGUGAUGAACUACACUCUAAUAAGGGAGCAGGUAUGGUCACCUUAUCAAGUUCUACUUUCCUCCCACUCACUUCUUUCGAGAGAAACUCCUUCUCUAGAAAGGAUCCAUUCUUAGCAACAAAUGUCUUGCCUUCAGAUCUGUGAUAGAAGGUGUACCCAACAGUCUCCUUUGGGUAUCCUAUGAAGACACAUUUCUCCGAUUUGGGUUCAAGCUUAUCAGGUUGAAGCUUUUUCACAUAAGCAUCGUAGCCCCAAACUUUAAGAAACAACAACUUUGGUUUCUUGCCAAACCACAGUUCAUUAGGCGUCGUCUCAACGGAUUUUGAUGGUGCCCUUUUUAACGUGAAUGCAGCUAUCUCUAAAGCAUAACCCAAAAACGAUAGCGGUAAAUUAGUAAGAGACAUCAUAGAUCGGACCAUAUCUAGUAAAGUACGAUUACGACGUUCAGACACACCAUUACGCUGUGGUGUUCUGGGUGGUGUGAGUUGCGAAACUAUUCCACAUUGUUUCAAAUGUAGACCAAACUUGUAACUCAAAUAUUCUCCUCCAUGAUCAGAUCGUAGAAACUUUAUUUUCUUGUUACGAUGAUUUUCCACUUCACUUUGAAAUUCUUUGAACUUUUCAAAUGUUUCAGACUUAUGUUUCAUUAAGUAGAUAUACCCAUAUCUUCUCAAAUCAUCUGUGAAGGUGAGAAAAUAACGAUACCCGCUGCAAGCCUCAACAUUCAUCGGAUCACAUACAUCAGUAUGUAUGAUUUCCAACAAGCACUACAAAAAAAGACACAUCCGUGACAUUUUGGGCCGAACGAAAAAAAAUUAUGUCAUACAUAUGACACUUCUAUGACGAUAAUUGUGACAAAACCCGGUAUCAUCAUAGAUGUGGUGGGCUCCUACUUCUAUGACAAAAAAAGCAUGACAGAAAAUGGGCUUUUCGUCCUGGGCGGGCCGGAGACGCAGCUGCAUGACAUUCUUUGGGCCGUCCAUGACGGAAAAACGGUGGUAGAAGCGAGGGUAAGGAAAAUUUCGGGGAGUUCUGGGUUACGGUGGGAGGUCGGGGGCCGAGCGAUGCGCGUUUCUUGCGCGUUUCUCUCGUACACGUACGCGCGUGUGUGCGAGGCGUUGGCUCUAACUGAACCCGAGCGAGGCGUUGGGCUUUAACUGAACCCGAGCGAUUGCACUGCAGGCUACGCGUUACUGAACUCAAGUGAUCGAUCGAUGGUUGUUAACUGAACCCGAUCGAGCGAUUCCUUCGCUACUGCUGCUAACUGAAGCCGAUCGAUUGGAUGAACAGUGAGCAUUGCGGGGGGGUAGGAUGAACAGUGAGCGGUGGCGUUGCCUCUGGAUGAACAGGACCCCGUGGUGUGGAGGGCUGGAUGAACAGUAGACGGUGGAGGGGUGCCCGUGGAGGGGUGGUUGAAGAGGACCCCGUGGUGUGGAGGGCUGGAUAAAUAGUAGACGGUGGAGGGGUGGUUGAACAGUAGCCGGUGGAGUAGCGUGCGGUGGAGGCUGGAUGAACAGGAGACGUGGAGGCUGGAGGAGGUCGACGGUAGCCCGUGGAGGCCGGAGGAGGUCGACGGUGGAGAUGAAUAGUAUCUCGUGGAGUCCCGUUUUGUGGUACGCCACACCCCUCCCGAUGAACAGGACCCCGUUUCGACCGUAGGAGGUCCAUUUCGUCUGUUUUGCGGUACGCCACACCCCUCCCGAUCAACAGGACCCCCGUUUCAUCCGUUUUGCGGUACGCCACACCCCUCCCGAUCAACAGGACCCCCGUUUCNNNNNNNNNNNNNNNNNNNNNNNNNNNNNNNNNNNNNNNNNNNNNNNNNNNNNNNNNNNNNNNNNNNNNNNNNNNNNNNNNNNNNNNNNNNNNNNNNNNNNNNNNNNNNNNNNNNNNNNNNNNNNNNNNNNNNNNNNNNNNNNNNNNNNNNNNNNNNNNNNNNNNNNNNNNNNNNNNNNNNNNNNNNNNNNNNNNNNNNNNNNNNNNNNNNNNNNNNNNNNNNNNNNNNNNNNNNNNNNNNNNNNNNNNNNNNNNNNNNNNNNNNNNNNNNNNNNNNNNNNNNNNNNNNNNNNNNNNNNNNNNNNNNNNNNNNNNNNNNNNNNNNNNNNNNNNNNNNNNNNNNNNNNNNNNNNNNNNNNNNNNNNNNNNNNNNNNNNNNNNCUCCCCAUGAACACGACGCAUUCCGUUGCCUCCCCAUGAACACGACGCAUUCCGUUGCCUCCCCAUGAACACGACGACGAUGAUGGUUCUCCGUGCCGACUCAGCCAUGUACACGAGCCCUCGCCGUACGUAUGCGCGAGUAGGCGUUCGAGACCCUGCCCGUAUGUACGUACGUGGUCGUAUUUUCUUUCUUGCACCCUGGCCGUUGUACGUACGUGUACAUGCUACGUGCGCGCCUCUACUAUGACACGUGCGCGCCUCUACAUCGACCAGUAUAUAUGUACGUGCAUGUUCGCGACCAGAAUGACAAUGCUACAUACGCUUCGACCAGGUGGGUCACGACUGUCAGGUACUUCCUUGCCUACGAAGAUGUAGCUGGUGGGUCCCAACAGUCAGGGGGGCGAAUCAUUUUGGUUUUUUCUUACCCGGAUGCACUUCCUUGCGUGCGAAGAUGUAGCUGGUGGGUCCCAGCAGUCAGGGGGGCGAAUCGUUUUUUUAUUGCCCGGGCAGACUUCCUUGCGUGCGAAGGUGUAGCUGGUGGGUCCCAGCAGUCAGGGGGGAAACGUUUUUUUCGCAAAAUACGGUGGCCUGUCCGGUGGGUCCCUGCUGUCAGGUGGAGGAAUCAUUAUUUUGCGCGUAAUAAGGAGGCACUUCCUUGCUGCCGCCGUGGACCCAGCUGUCAUCCUCUCCACGUAUAGUCCAUGUUCGAUGUAAUUCAUUCCUUGACCAUGUUGACCACGCCGCGCCGAGAGCACCAGGGCGGUGGACGACAGCGAGGCCUAGGAAGGGGACGACGCGGAGCCGAUGAAGACGCGACAGUGGAUGCCCACGUGGAGAGGAGUAUGAGGGUUCACUCGUUCGGCUGCGGUGUGAGGUUGCCGUUGCUGCAGGGCUUGGCCAGCGGUGGGAAUAGUAGGGGGCGGUGAGGCCUCCGCGAUAGCACAGCCGGCCACGGGAGGCAGGAGCAGGCGGCACGACCGGCACUGCUUUGGGCGGCUGGAGCAAGAAGACCAGAGGUUGAAGAAGCACUACGGCCGUUGGAUGGACAUCGUACGGUCACUAGAGCUAGAAUCGUUCAUAUUGACUAAGUUGACAAAGCCCUCCAUCCCCGUCAACUUAGUAGGCCCACAAGUCAGCCUCCCACCAAGGUGGGUCCCAGCUAGCAGGGGGGGUAUUCAUUUUUUUGUGCGUAAUAAGGAGGCACUUCCAGUGGGUCCAAGCUGACAGCGGGGGGAACGUUUUUUCAUGAAAUAUGGUGGCCCGUCCGGUGGGUCCCAGCAGUCGGGGGGAAAUGUUUUUUUGCAAAAUAAGGUGGCCCGUCCGGUGGGUCCCCGCUGUCAGGUGGAGGAAUAAUUAUUUUGCACGUAAUAAGGAGGCACUUCCUUGCGGCCACCGUGGACCCAGCUGUCAGCCUCUCCACGUACAGUACUCUUCCGAUGGAAGUUGGUCGUUGACCAUGUUGACCACGCCGCGCCGAGAGCACCAGGGUGCUGGACGAUGGCGAGGCCUAGGAAGGGGAUGACGCGGAUCCGGGGAAGACGUAGCAGUGGAAGCCUGCGCGGAGAGGAGUACGAGGGUUCACUGGUUCGGCUGCGGUGUGAGGCUGCCGUCGCCGCAGAAUAACAGGGGGUGUGGGUGAGUGGAGGGAUGGCCUGGCCAGCGGUGGGAGUAGUAUGGGGGGCGGUGAGGCCUCCGCGGCAGCACAGCCAGCCACGGGAGGCAGGAGCAGGUGGCACCACCGGCGCUGCUUUGGGCGGCUGGACCAAGAAGACCAGAGGUUGAAGAAGCACUACGGCCAUUGGAUGGACAUCGUACAGUCAUUGAAGCUAGAAUCAUUAAAAUUGACUAAGUUGACAAAGCCAUUGGUACGCUCCAACUUAGUAGGCCCACAGGUCAGCCUCCGAAACAGUGCGCCCCAGAUGUCAGGGGGAGGAAUCAUUUUUUGGGCGACCGAAGCUAAGAAUAUCCGAGAUUAAAGAAGAAGCACGACAUCCGUUGGAUAGACAUCCAACGGCCACUGCUGGUAGAACCGUGUGUUGACUAUAAUAAGUUGACAAAGCCUUGCAUACGCGUCAACUUAUUUUUUCUAGGGGACGCGUCACUUAGUAGGCCCACAAGUGUGUGGCAGAGAACUUAUAGCCCAUUUGCGUUUUGUAAGAAUGUAUAGCCCAUUUUUGAAUUCUAAUGGAAUUUACAACAGCCCAUUUACAGUUUGUUAAAAGUAUAGCCCAUUUUCUAGCUAGGACAACGAUUAAUAAUUUCAACCAACCGUUGAAGAUAGAAUUCAAUAAAAUUUUCCACAUUUUGAUGGGAUCUGAAAUAUUUUUAUCCCGAAAUUUCUAGUCAGAUUAAAUAUAAAUUUGUAUUACGUAAAAAUCCUAUGAAACAUUGCGCGCGCAACAAUGAAAAUUUAAGAUUUUCAAAAUCCAUAAAUAAUAUUUUAUAAACUAAUUUCGUGUUUGGUGCAUUUUUAUAGUUACUGCCCAGUUUUUAUAAUUACAUCCCAUUUAUUAUUUUUUAAAGCCCAUUUUCCUGUUAAGCCUAAUGCAUCCCUCCUAGGAAAGAUUUGCAGCCCAACGGGGUGGAGAAUAAUAAGUUGACCUUGCCUGGGUAUUCCUCAAAAAGACGUAUAUCUAGGCUAGCCAUUUUCAUCUUGAAAAAAUAAGUAUCUGGGCUGGAUAUCUAGCCUGGGCUAGAUGGGCCACAGCCCGCCCAGUUAGUACCCCGCUCUCCUCUGAACAAUAACAAAAUCAUCGCCAAGAAAAACUCUGCAGUGCUGACGCCUCAAAAACACAAAUACUGCUCGAGUUGCUUGGUCCCAGCUGUAGGCCGCACCUUGUGCAAUUCUCUCGUUUAUAUUGACUACAUAGGUUGACAAUGGUGUGUGACCGUGAUGUCAGGAAACCAAGAGAAAGCAAAAAAAAUAUAGCUGUACAUAAUAAGGAGGCACUUGCGUACGUACGGCUAUGGCCCUAGUGGGUCCCUAGUGUCAUCCAGUCAAAAUAAAGUCAUCUCCUGAAUCCUCAUGUUUGUUGACGAUGUUAACAAUGCUCGGCGCCACGGCGAGCGCAACAACUCGAAGGACAACGGAGAGGGCCUCGCGGGCCCUACGGAUGGUAUGAUACAGCGCCCGCUGCUCAUUCAGGAAGCCAGGAUCAUCGGACACCUAUGAACACCUUCGAGAAAGUGAGACGGCAUGAAACGGUAAGGCCGCGCUUGGGAGCUCUGAUUUAUUUCAAACCUGUAUUAACAUACAAGUGUAAUUUACUCGUCAUCGGAAACAACACGUAAAAUAUAGGCGUAAUGAAACCGAGGGCCCGAGGUCUGUAAGUAAAACCGGCGGGUUACAUGUGUAAUUUGAGAGACCAGUGUAUAUUUUACGAGCACUGCUAUAUGGACGACAUUAACAGACAAUACAUGCACGACGUGCGUAUCAUGCAAUCCAUGGGCAAGGCUAAAAUAGCAGCUAACGGCUGGAUUAGCAAUCGUCCGAGUGUCGUUCAGCGUUUUUAUCGUGUGUGAAGUACUUCCAAUAUUUCACUAGUCAAAAUCGACCAACCAAGCGCCUUCGCCCGAGACCAUCUGCUUUAAUUCACAAGCGUCAAUUUUACAGGCGGUUUUGGUUGGAAAACGAUGAUCCAAUCACGGCCUAAUAUCAUGAGUUGGUCAUAAGAUCAUAUGGUUUCACGUCUAACCUACCCGACUUGUUGUAUAGGCUAUGAAUGAAACAUCAGACAAUGAACUUCUUAAGCACGGAAACAACAGAAGAGGAUGAUCUUCUUAACAAGCAAAUCACUGGCAUUAGAUUGACAUGCAAAACAAUACGAAGCAUUAUUAUCAGGAGGCACGGUGAACAGCUCGUGAUGCCGCAUGCCACAACAUUCCAAGCUCAACUUUGCAAUCAAACACAAGGCCUGACAUUACAUAGACAAUAUUCAGAACAAACUCUUAACACAGGAAUAUCUCAGCAGAGUAACUAUUUACUUCUAAAUUGAACACAGGAAUAGGAAAAAACACUCGACGCUCCUCACAGCAAGGGCGUCCCACUCAAAAAUAUCAAAUGCAUGUCUUCUGGCUAACAUCAAUGAGCAAAUUUUGACAAGGUUUUCAAAUUCCAAUAUAUUAAACUAACGUCUUCUUGCUAACAUAAAUGAUUAAACUUUGACAAUCUUUUGCCAUUCAAAAUAUGUAAUGCCUAUGAUCAUGGAGUCCUGUCGUAGCUUCUUGUACUUGUUUGGGCACUUUUUGCCCAGGGCACUCCACGUGUUGUUAAAUUGCCAAUGGUCUCUGUAGACUAGUCAUGUCACCGGUGUAUAAUAAUACUCUAUAAAGCUUCUCGGUCAUUCCUUCUUUAAUGUAGCACGAACAGUGACUGCUUCUUUCUGCAAAGUGGAACAACCAACUAGAUCCAGUAAUGCAGCAGUUUGCCUUAAACAUUGGCUCCUUUUGUGCAGUUCAACUAAAAUCAAAGUCGGAAUAAAACCGAGCUUUAAUUUUGAUAUCCAUGUAAGCAACAAUAGGUAUAAGGGAAACAAUUAUUGAGAAAUAACGGUUGAUGACUUGUACUCCCAGAAGAAAAGCAUCUACUGAUCUACUUUAUCUUAAUGGGAAACAAAGCAAGAGAGUAGCAAUUCUCCAUCAGUGUGAUUCAUUCAUAUUGACUAAGACAUUAUCUUAACAAUGCCUUGUUUCAACAUGUAUAAAGAAUGACAAAGCAGAAAAGUACCAUUCCUAAAACAAUGCAACUGAUUCAUUUUAACAGAGACAUUAUCUUAACAAUACCUUGGUUAAACAUGUAGAAAGAACUACAAAGCAGGAUAGUACCAUUCCUAACAAGUGUUGCAGUUUUGAACUAAGAUUCAGUAGUUAAUUAAUUCUGAGAGUGGCAUUGCUUAAUUUUACCAGCGGCAUUAGAUUAACACAAAGCAUAAACAGUUCCAAGGGAGAGUGGGCGCAACAACAGUAUGUGCUUCCAUCUACUUAUAAAGGGGGUGAUGCAGAGUUUGUUGUAACAAAGCAACAAGCAUCAUGUCUGGGUUGGUCCCAUUUUUGUUCACUACUUAAUGGGAAAAGACAGCAAUACAAUAGCUUCAAUUCAACAUUUAUUUAAAACAGUACCAAUACAAGUAGCACAACAUCUCAAAGCACACUGCACAAUCAUGUGGAUGAAGGCCUGUACUGACCUUUCAUGAGACGGACAAGAUAAAAUACGAAUCUGCCAACACGAAUAGGAAAUCCAAUCUUGUUUUUGUAGUUGCACUGAAAUCAAGCAAAGUGUUUCGCGUAGCGAAGCAAAAUGUCGCAAUAGCAGCAAGUUGAAUAGAUAUACCUGUUUAGACAGGGGCAAAAAAAGGAAUCAAUUACUGGCUAAUAAAGGAGGAUGAAACAUGCGGCCACAAAAAUGGUAAUCCCGCCAAUCCCUAACAAGUGUUGCAGUUUUGAAAUAAGAUUCAGUAGUUAAUUCUGAGAGUGGCAUGAAUUACUGGCUUAUAAAGGGGGUGAUGCUGAAUUUGUUGUAACAAAGCAACAAGCAUCAUGUCUAGGUUGGUCCCAUUUUUGUUCACUACUUAAUGGGAAAAGACAGCAAUACAAUAGCUUCAAUUCAACAUUUAUUUAAAAUAGUGCCAAAACAAGUAGCACAACAUCUCAAAGGACACUGCACAACAUGUGGUUGAGACCAAGAUUUGAAACAACUCGCCACGAAGACUGGAAACAAAUUUCGAUCUCCUUUUGUGCAGUUCCACGAAAAUUAAGCAAAGUCACCGGUGUGACAUUCAAGUUGAACUGCACAAAACACUCUUAAAACAUAAGUGUUUCGAGUAGCGAAGCAAAAUGUCGCAAUAGCAACAAGUUGAAUCGAUACCCCUAUUUUAACAGAAGCAAAAAAGGAAACAAUUACUUGUCGAUAAAGGAGGAUGAAACAAACGGUGACAGAAAGAAGCAUCUAACUUAUCUUGGAUGGAAAACAAAGUAGGACAGUAGCAUUUCUAAAACGGUUGCAUUGAUUCAUAUUAACCGAGACAUUCUCUUGAAACAACAUUCGUUAAAAAUGUAAUUUACUUUUAACAGUGGCAUUGCUUCAAUUUUCCGGCGGCAUUCUUAGAUUAACAACAGCAAAAUAGCUGUAUGGGACAUGCCAGCACCAUGUGCGUCCACACGUAUAAAUGGGUGAUACAGAGUAUGUAGCCAACCAGCAUAUAUGCGCUGGUCCCAUAUUUGUUCUCUUUGAACCUUCUUCCUAUGUGAGGGCAGCAAAUCUAGUCCUGCACAAACUACCCGACCCCCCAGUUUCUUUCCCUUUUCAACAAAGAGAUCGGUUCCUUACAGAUGUGUGUACUGGGUUGCCCCCUUUUCCCCUUUUUGACCUACAAAGCGGCUGGAUAGCCAGUCUAUACUACUUUCCGCCCCUCCUUUCCUCAUUGAACCACGUCCUAGAUUCUUGCUCCAGCCCACCGCACCCUUCUUUCCUCUUUGAACCAAGAACUAGAUUCGACUACAGAUCGAAAACGAUCCUUUCAAAGAAACUUAUACCUUAGGGUCGUCGGGAUGUGGCAAGGCGUGCGGCGGGAGGCCGGAUCUGCCCACACUACGUACGGCAGCGAGGAAGAAGGGGUCGGUGGCCCUCCUACACAGGCGCUGGGUGAAAGAGAACAGCACAGCCGGUAGUGGAUUGCCUCCCUUGCCGAAGGCGAUAGAGUGAACGCUGCACCUCCUCCCCUUCCUGUUGCGACGAGAUACAGACGCCUCCUUCACCAGCUGUGAGGGGGGGGAGAGAGACAAGAGGCCAACGCAGUCUUGUUUAGAUCUGGUGAAGAGAGGGUGAGAGACUGUGAAUAUAGCAAACCCUAGCAAAUGAACGCUGAGCCUCCAGCGUGUAACAUAUAUGUAGUGCGGCGAGUGUGUGGAGAGUGCAAACCCUAGCGAACAAGCGCUGAGGCUCCCGCUUAUAUAUAUACUACUGUAGUACAGACUGAGCUCCGGUGCCUUCACUGCACCUACUUACAUACUACUGUAGUUUACGUAAAAUUCCAUUUCCAUCUCCAUCUCCAAUUAUAUUUGUCCAACUGGCACAUUAUUUACAUUGUUAAUUAUAUACGCAGCAAUAUUAACGUACAACAUCUCUUGUUUGCGCACGUCCGGAGCGCUGCCACGGUCGGUCCUGACCAACCCGAACCCUCUUCAUCACCCACGCGUGCUUCCCGCCCGAAAUGGUCAGUGCCGCAUUCAUGCCCGGCCAGAGCGGACGCGACCUCUCGCUGGUGCCGGCAUUGAAGCGGCGCGCCGGUCGAGAGAGCGUCGCCCGCACCGCUUCUGGGUGCACACGGCUGCUCCGCGUUCAAAGGUCGCAAUAGCCGGCUACAACAUGCAUGUAAAAAUUUCUUGGGAGUCCGUGCUACAGCUAGCUGUCCUCCCCCAACUCGUCAAUCUCUUCCAGUAGUGCUAGUACUCCAUGGUGCGAUCCAUCGACAAGCAGGAGGGAAAGUUAUCGUAUACUCGGUUUGUGGUGAGUGGCAUGCCGAGCGACCGUGUGGGGUCGAGCCGUGGAGGAGGGUGAGAACGAACACGACAGACGUGAUUUAAACGUUGGUUUUGCUUGAUGGCGCGAUCCAACGAAACGAAACAUUGGUUUCUCUCCGUUUCCAUUUUUUCUCCGAAAAAACGGAAACUUUCCACUCCAUUUUAAUUCCUGUUCCAAGGUUUCCCCGUUACAACAUUCCAUCAAAUACAAAGGAAAACUAACACGCAUGCUGAUGCAUCUCAAUGAUUCACAGAUCAUAGCCAAUAUUUACUUCACAACUAAAGAAAAAAGUUGUGAGAGCAUGUACGAAAGAAAAACUACUGAUGGGGUCAAUACGACUUAAACCCUAAACCCUAAACAUGAUUUAAUUUCCUGGCCAGGUAGAACCUGUCGAAGGAAAGACAGCUGGCACCCUCGGAUCAUACGAUGCUUUUGUGCAGUUCCACUAAAAUCGACCUGAGCAUCCCUGAUGGCAAAGAUAUUGAAGAAGUGUGAUUAGAAUAAUAGUACUGGCACUAGUUCAUGAGACAUAAACUCAUCACAAGUAGAAGCCGGUAGAAGUAGAGAAAGAUCGACAUGGAGAUGGAGCUACGGCAGUGGAGCAAGCCGGCUCCAAAAGGAAGAUGGACUACCUGGGACGUCGGGCUAUAGCUAGAAGGGCGGUUGGGACGAGGCAUCAGCCCAUACUGCGGUGACCCCCGAUUGGGACACACCGACUGUGGGUUUUCUCCCUUGCCGAUGUCGACCGCGUCUAUGUAGAACAUUGUUCCCUUCCCCCAGCUGCGGGAUCAAGCCAGUCGUUCUAUGCUUGUGAAGAGAGCAACCUGAGCAAGCAGGCUUGUAGCUUAGGCUCCUGCUAGUGUAUAUAUAGUGGUUUUCUUUUUCUCUCCAUAUCAACCAUUUUAUAUUGUGUACAUGUCAUUCAAGAGUGAAAUGAUGAUUGCUUCUUCCGACUAACUUACUGUGUGAUUUGACUGCUCCUUAGUGGCCCCUAACACGUACUCCCCCUACGUGUAUGCAACAGUCACACGUACACAUGGACGCAAAAACGCGCGCGAUGCCCUAAUGCAUGCAUGUCCGAGCACACGACGGAACACACACGGUCACGCUCAAGUGCUCAACCUACACGUGCAUGCACACACAUACUCAGUCAGGGUGAGAUAGUGACCGUAUAAACACCGGAAAAUAUAUAUAUUGAGCGCAAUGAGCGUAUUAUGAAGUCCACUGACCGUAUUUUUACAAAUAAACAGUGACAGAUAGUGUAUUUAUCUCGUUUGAAAUUAAGCCAUAUUAACCGGAGAGGAGGCAGUAUGGACUAGCAUUACUUUGUUGUGUCCCAUCAACUUGCCGAACGAGGAGAAGGUUGCAGGACGGGAGAAGCUUGCGCGCAGUGGCUCGCAGGACAAGGCGAAACUUUUGACUAAUGCAAGCUCUCGCUCGCUCAGGCGGUGGACGUGCAACAGUUAAUUCGGUGUCAGAUUGCCAGAAGCAUACACUAUACUACUAGUGCUAUUAUUGUUCGACUUCCCGAAUAGGCGAACAGCCAAGCGCAAAGUUUACUAGUACUACUACUAUAGUCUAUAAAGGUACGUACUAUACUAGUACUGGGAACCGGAUGGAGGAGCGUCUGCACUCUUAUUAUAAUUUUAAAAUGUGAUAAAGCAAUCUUCAACACAUUUGGUUCUCUUCAAGGGUUCUCGCAUGUGAUAAUGGAAGUUGAUUGCAUAGAACACUCACCACAAUUCUCGCUUAAUUCUAGCUCAUAUCCUGUUACAAAUAGUAGCGCUCGGUAAUAUUUCCUCUUUUUUGUUGUUCAGCAUGUAAACAUGUCAGCAAACCUUGCGGUGCAUCUUCGUGCGAACCGUGCUUGCUGCACUUUGAAUGUGGCCGAGAGUUGGCUUGAUGAAACACCUCGCUUCCUACUUCUUUUUUUGCGGGGUACCUCACUUCCUAGUGACCAGUGUCUUGGCUGAUCGUCCUAAGAAUGCUUAUAUAUGAAUAAAGCUCUCUCAUUUACCCACAAAAAAGAUUAAGCCAUAUUAACCGGAAAGGAGGGAGUAUGGACUAGCACUACUUUUUGGUGUGUCCCGUCAACUCGCAGAACAAGGAGAAGCUUGCAGGACAAGGUGAAGCUCGCUUAUGCCUUUUGACUAAUGCAACCUACCCUCGGUGGACAUGCAUCAGUCCAUUCGGUGUCAGAUUGUCAGAGCAUACACUGCAAUACCCAACAUGCGGAGUACCAUCAUUGUUUGACUUCACGAAGAGGCGAAGAGCCAAGCGCAGUAGUACGAGUAGUACUACUACUAGAACCGCAUGGUGGAGCGUCUGUACUCUUUUUUAUCUCUGAUAAAGUACACGUUUAUUCCGGAGAAGGGCGGAAAAUGGUAGCCCAACAUGUAAUGAAUGAUAUCGAUCAACCAACCAUGCUCGAAUAUAUCUUGGCCUCCGUGCGAGCCCGUCUGUGUGUUCUUGCUCCUCGUCUCUCUCAAGGAACGGCGGGUUGGCUCUUUGUCGUCAAUUGAGAUCGGUUUGCUCACACUCCUAUCCCACAUGUCAGUCAUAUGCCAAGAGGAGGUGCAUUGACCGACUAGCCAUACGCGUACUUGGUUUUGCACCUUCAUACUACUCCUCCCUCUGUCACAGUUUACAAUGCAUUUCCACCACCAGAGAGACUUUAGACACGUUUGGUUUAAUGCUCAAUUAAUUAGGGCGUGGUAACCGCAAUCAAGUCCACAAUUUUCUCUCCAUGUACUGUACUACUACGGAGUGGAGUAAGUGCAUGCAUGUGUGUACCCGGGGUGGAAGCACUAUAUGCAUGUGUGUACGCAUUAUUCCCUCUAAUAAUAGACGCCGUGCUAUAACUACCAAUGCUAUUUUUGCAGGCCGAUCGCUAGUCGCCUUGGUCCCACAGAUUUUUUAUCUUUUUUCUGAAGUGUGCUGUAUAAACAGUGACGGAUGGAGUAGUAUGAGCGGAUUCAAAGAAGAGCGUAUUGAUGGUUGCUUCUUCAGAGCAACUUACAGUGGGAAAGGUGGGGCUUAUGAUUUGACUGCUCAUUACUCACUAUUAAUGCGGCGCAACGACUGGGCUGAGUCUCCCAAGCGGUUGUGCACUACCCCCUCGGUUCUUAAAUAUACUCCGGAGUAUUUUUUUUCUAGAGAUUUCAACGAGUGACUACUCAAAUAUUAGUCUUUUUAGAGAUUUCAAAUGGACUGGCACAUACGGAUGUAUAUAGACAUAUUUUAGAGUGUAGAUUCACUCAUUUUGCUCCAUAUGUAGUCACUUGUUGAAAUAUCUAGAAAGACGAAUAGAAUAUUUAGGAACGGAGGGAGUACACAUAUGAAGCAAAAUGAGUGAAUCUACACUCUAAAAUAUGCCCUUUGAAAUUUGUAAAAAGACAAGUAUUUAGGAACGAAGGAGUAUAAUUUUGUGCAUGGCACAUGGACCCGGAUGAUGAAGAGGCUUCUGGCAAUACUGUCAAGCUUCCAUCAUUUGUUUACAUAAUUGAUGUACUAUACAAAUAAUUUUCCAGCGACAAGAAAUUGUACAAUGGUGUGAGCUUUCAGCUUUUGUUUCACGUGUCUUGCCAUCGAUGCUCUUUCGGAAAUAAUAAAAAAACUAACUUCCUUGCUAAUGCAUGUCAAUUAUUAGCAGAUCAGAGCUAAUAAUUACAUCACAACUGAAGACAGAGUUGUGAGAAGGUGUUAAAUUAAAAUUGAUCCAUGCUUUCAUUGGCAGCAAUGUCCCCCCAACUCUGUCUAAAUCAACAAGGCAUGUUGGAAAAAAAAUAGUUGUCUGGAGCACGCAACAUUCCGAUCAUUUUGUGCAGUUCCACUAAAAUAGAGCUCAGCGUCCCUGUUCCAAAGAUAUUAAGUGUGAUUACGAUAAUAGAGGACUGCUGAUGAAACAAUAAACACACAAAUAGAAGCCGGUCACCUUUGCAGUCUCUCUUAAGACUAACUAGUUGGAGAAGAUUAGGCUCGGAGUUGGAUGAGGAGGAUAGAGCAAAACCAAUCUCCCUUUGUGCAGUCGCACUGAAAUGUAGAGACGUUGCCCGUGUGACAUUUUAGUACAACUGCACAAAACACUCUUAAGAAAAAAGUGAUUUGUGCAGUUCACCAAAAGGUCGCAAUAGCAACGAGGUGAAAUGGAUAGCCCUGUUGCCAAAAAGAGGUAGAAAGGAAAAAAUUACUGGCCAAUAACAGUUGAUGACACAUGCGACGACAAAAAAGAAGCAUAUUCCUUGUCCUAAGGGAAGAUAACAACACGGUUGUGUUUGUCUAAAACGGUGUGAGGAUGAGAAUGCAAUAUGGAAAGUACGCCGGACGAGCUAGUUUUGGGCAAAGAACUAUGGAAGAUCCACAUGCAGCGACGUGGGAAGACGGGCAGUGGAGCAAGGCCGGAGGGGAUACCUAGAGGUCGUCGAGACGUAACUAGGUCAGCGGCAGCGGGCAGAAUCUGCGAGUAGGUGGCGUAGGCCCUGCCGCACCGGAGCUUGGUCAGAGAGAACGGCGUGUACCGCAGAUCGGGACGUGCUGCCUCGGCGCUAUCGAAUGGAGAAACGAUGCACUUCCUCCCUUUCCCCCGGCGGACGGGAUGCGUCCGGAUCAGUGACCAACUGUGAGAGAGAGAGAGGCCACCGCACUCCCUUUCCCCCGGCGGACGGGAUGCGGCCGGAUCAGUGACCAAGGGUGAGAGAGAGAGAGGCCACCGCAGCCUUGUGUGAGAUACUCUGAAGAGCGACAAACCAGGCAGGCAUGCUCCAUUGUAUAUAGUGAGCGGACUACCUUUUUCUCCAUAAAAAUCAUUUUAUAUUCUGUGUACGUGCCAUUGAGCGCUAUAACUUUAUUUAAAAAUAACGCAACAACGCGUCAAGUCAAACUUUGUUUCGUGCACGCGCGGUACACGACCUCCCUAGGUAAACCACCACUACAGGCAUUCAAAUUAGCACGUGGGCUGCCAUUUCGUAAAGAAAUGAGCUCCACCAUGUACCCGCGCGGGUGUGGCUGGGCACGAAGCAUGAGUACGUGCACGGUGCACCUAUUCUCUUCUUGUAUACAUACACCACCUACGUGGGGUUGUCUGAGAGAGAUACAAACCUAGAGAGAUAUAGUGUGUGGGUUCUUGAGAGUUUUUUUUGGGGGGGUCAAUCAAAAAAUGUAACAUAUGCAAUGUGUGUGAAAUAGAGUCCUGGAUAUAACAUAUAUAUAGAGGGGGCGAUCCACGAGAAGAGAGUGGAGGUAUCAUCGGCUUGAGGUGUCCAUAGAAUCGAAGAGAGGGAUGAUGUGUGUGUGUGUGCGCGCGUGAUCGAUAAAGAGUGCCAUCGAAUUUGUGUGUGCCCACGUCAAAGAUAUAGAGUGGCUGGCCUACUGGAACGUGAGAUGGGACAUGUGCAGUUUGUCUCUGUGGCAGGGAUACCUACCUGCAGCGCUCGACUAUCGAUGUGUGGUGGGGGAAGAGGGAGGCCCAAUUAACUAUAGAGGUACAAUGGCUGGUAUAUGUGUGGAGGAGGAGAGAGGCCUACCUCAUGUAUUAAGGGGAUCGAUCUGCCUCAUGUAUUAAGGGAGAUCGAUCGGCAUCCAUGCAUAUGUGCAGGAGAGGAAUAAGGUUGGGAGAGAGACAGAGCUAGAGUGUUGGAGGGGGUGGUAGUGGAGUUGCUUCUAACAAAUGGUGGGAUAGGCUUGCUAGACAAACGGAGGGCACGCCUGCAAUAUCAAUAAGAGAGGAGAUGGCUGCUUGUUGUCUGUGCACAUGCGUGUGAGAGACGGGUCAGGAGGCAUGCACGAAUGAUGAGGGGGGCGAUGUGGCUGUGGUAAGAAGACGUAACUACAUAGGAAGAUCAAUCGCCCUUUGUUAGAGAAAGGAGAGACAUAACUUGUGAGGUACGUCGAUCGAUGGGGGGUAGUUAAAGUCAAUCUAGGUAUAUGUUGGGAGAUCGAUCGGUAUACAUGCAUGUGUGUGUUAGAAGCAAAUGAGGCACGAGGAGAAGGAUAGAGAGAUAGGGAUGCAUGUAGGAGGUGGUACGAGAGGCAUACUAUAUCGAGGGGGGAGGAGUGUGCGAGUACGAGAACGAUGAAAAGAGUGGUGGGAGUGAGGCAUGGACGAUGACAAGAGAAGAGGGGAAGCUUGUGUUUGUGCUAGGCACACCUGGCUAGAGAAGCAUAUCGAUCGAUGUGUGCCGUAAAGAAGGAGCUGGGGGGCCUACACACACCGUGGGUGAACGACCUAAUGUGAAAAGACGAAUUUGCGUGAUGGAGCUAGAGAAUGUUGAAGGAGGGUGAGAGGGAUGCGGGUGUGUGCAUGCACAAGAGAAAGUUAGCGCUAGCUACAAAGAUAAGAGGGUUGUGUGGGUGUAAAAGACGAAUAGAGAUCAUAUAUACUUCAUUAUAAAAAGCGAAUUCGGAUAUUUGAAGAAUUUAUCAUAGUGUUUCAAACCGAUGCAUGUGUGAAUAUAUAUAAUGGUGAUACACAUGGUGUGCUUAUGAACAUGUUACACUACAUUUAAUAUAUUUUAUCUCUACUCUUAUAAAAAACAGAGUUGUUGAUGAUGGUGUGCCUGCCAUCCUGCAUUAUAGGCCGUCCGAUUUAUAUCUGGCGAAUAGCAAGGAAACUAUGAUGGUUGAAUUUGGCAAAAAUCAUGAUUGUAGAUUCUUAUUGAAAUAGAGAAACGAAUUCAAAUUUAGUUCGAAUUGUAGCGGUAGUAUAGACAUUUGGAAUACACUAAAAUGUUGGUAUGAGUAGGUUACAUGCAUUAUACAGCAAGCGAAAAAUUUUAAUCGGACAUAACAUGGAUUCAUACUCCCUCCUUCCAUCUAUAUAGGGCGUAAUGAGAUUUUUAAGACCGCCUUUGACUAUUGACAAGAUUAAUAGUACAUGACAUGCACAAUGUGAAAAUUAUAUCAUUGAAAGAACCUUUCACAUACGAAUUUAACGGUGUGCUUUGUGUAAGUUGCAUGUCAUAUAUCAUUGCUCUAAUAUUUGGUUAAAGUUAGCAUCAAAAAACGCAUUAGGCCCAAUAUAGAUGGAAGGAGGGAGUAGCUUUGAAUAUCAUUUGUAUAGUAAAACGGGGCAAGACUCUCUCUUUGUGUGGUGUGAAUAGUUUUAUUUUUUCGUUUUCUUUUUGGUUGAGGGAAGUGUGAAUUGAUUUGGUACGUACAAGUACAAUAUUACUACACGUUAGGCUUGUCCCUAAAAUUCAACCCGCGUCUUGUUAUAUCCCGAAAAUUCAGAUAUCGUGCUCCCAAAACUGGUGCCUUCACAACCCGCGCCUUGCUAUCCCGAAAUUACAACGCGCGCGAAAACUCCCUCCAGCUACCAAAUCCCGACCCCGAAAUCCCCCUUCUAACCCUGAGCCGAAAGGGCCGCUAGUUCAAAUCGGUGGGGGGUACUUUUGUAACACACCCUACAUUUUGGACAAGCGCGUCCCUAAGUCAUGCUUCACCCCCUCCCAUCGCCCCCUUUUCGCCAUUCGAAAUCCCAAGCCGCCAUAACCUCUCCGCUCCAGCAGCGAAACCCCACCCUCCUUCGUCCGCCAUGUCACAGUUGCCCAGCCGGAGCCUCUUCCCCGACGACGUCGUCCACUGCAACAGCUCGACGUACCUCGUCCACCUCCCCUGAUGAGGAUCCGUCGUCCAUCUCGCCGUCCCGCCGAUUCAGCCGCCCCGUCCUCCACCUCCAAGGAGCUGCUCCGACGAUCGCCUCGUCUAUCGCGGCUGCUCCAUCCCCACAGCGCCGCCUUAACCUGCUCCACCGGAACCGCAGCAUCCUCCCCGACUCCUCGGACGAAGCCGAGGCCUACUUGGCGCCACCAAAGAGGUUGUACACUCAUCGCAUCGCACCUUCUCCUUAACUCGGCCUCCCGGCGCCGACGGUGCUCCAUCCCGCACCCCCAUGGAGCGGCUACCUUGAAGCCGGCGCUGCGGACGACAUCUCCAGGGCGGCUCUCCCCCAGUGCGAGGCCCCUUCGGUGGCGGCGUCCAUACCAGCCAGAUCUGCUGCUGCUGCUCGCUCACUCGCGCUGCUGCUGCUGCUGCUCCGGCUCUUGCUCGAUCGCUCGCUCGCCCAGCUGCUGCUGCUGCUCUCCCCCUUGCUCGUGCGGCUGCUCUGCUCCAAUUAAGCCACACUUCAGUCGACCGAAUUGACUUUUGGGUCAGUCGAUUUCCAGGGGUUGGGGGGGCUCGCCGGAGUUAAGGAAGAACCACCCGCGGCGGGGACGGGGGCUCGCCGGAGAGGUACCCCACUAUCUAUCUUAGGGUUCAAGGUGGGGGCGGGGGCCUAGAGGGAUGGCUGGGGCGGCGGUGGUGAAUUGUUUCGGGGCGGCGAGGCGGCGCUGGGGCCGGCGGUUCGGCCAGUGGUGGCUGGCGGCUCAGGGGGGUGCAUGUUGAAGAUGAACUGCAGGCCCUCCCUAAACUACAUGUCAAGUGCCUCUCUGCUACCAUUGCGUUCAGUUUCGACAGUGGCAUUCAGAUUCCACAGUAAAUUUCAGUUUUGACGGUUAAGUUCAGAGUCAACAGUUUUUACCUCAUCUGUUGUAGUCGGGUGGUUUUUGGUGAUGUUAACUUUACAACCAUUUUACAUCAUCUAUUGGAGAUGCUAUUAGAAUCCCACUUGAGAUGGACGAUGUCUGUCUUGUGCUGCUUCAGCCUUGACGUCUUACGGCUCACCGGAGCUACUCCAACCACAAAACGAUCCAUCACAAUAGAGCAGUGCCCUGGACGCCGUCUACAGAUUCCUCAGAUCUUCCUCCACACCUCCGACAGCCACCUCUGCCUCAACUGCUUCAGCGACCAACCCAAUGAUGUUGAGGUCGACAUGGCUACGGCAAAGAGGUUGUACACUUGUUGCAUCACUUAUUACUAUACAUUCACGUCGAUCCAUUAGGGCUAUUUUGGUUCAACGGAAAAACGUUGAUCCACUGGUUGUUACCAUCACUCUAAAUUUCUACAUGCUCUCCUUACAUAAUCUCACCAUAUUUUUUCGUAUGCAUGUCAGAUAUUGUACACAAUCAUGCUGAACAUGUAGAGAAAAAGAGAAGAGUUUUGCACGGAAAUACAAUGUCAUGCAGACAUCGCUCCAUGGUGGGUUCAAUGACAAACCCUCCCCACCCCUCUCCAGAUUGUAAUCCAGAGGAAGAUAUCUAUUCUGAGGCGGAUUCAGAUGCCGCUGACCACUCCUAUUUACCCCCCAAGGUAUUUGCUCUACCUUGGCAUGAUGAUGUUAGUCAUAUCAUGCAUAUGUUGCCUUGCAGUGCCUACUUUUGACAUCAUAUAUGUCAUCUGCUUAGUUUAGACAUGUUCUGUAAUGCCACCUGUUUAGUUUCUAUAUCAUAUAUGGGAAUUAUGCAGUCUCAUGUCUUUUAGCCAGCCAUAAUAUAUGUGAAAUGUGCAAUGCCAUCCUGUUUAACCAAGCAUCAUAUAUUUGAAUGAUAUCUUGCCCAUCCUUUUCUUCAUUACAUUUCCAUUUGUCGACAAUGUUUGUACAUUAAACUACUCUUCCCGUGAAUCAGCCAUUUGGGUGGGAGAUGGAAAAUCUGGAGUGAAAACAAGGCCUUCAGAGCAGACAGUGCUACCUGUCGAAGCAGAUCUCUUGUUGGGUCCCGAUAGCUCCUCGGAGAUGGAUUCAGAGACAGAUGAUCAGUCCUAUUCCCCCACUAAGGUGUAUGCUCUAACUUGGCACGGUUAUACUGCUCAUAUCAUGCAUACGGUGUCUUGCAUUGCAUAGUUUAGACAUCAUAUACACAAUAUUCAACACCAUGUUGUUAGUUCAGACAUCAUAUCGAAUGCCCUCUGUUUAGCAUAUAAAUCACAUAUGUGAAUUAAAUGAUGCGAUCCUGAUUACUUAGAUAACAUGUAGGUGAAUUAUGUCAUGUGAUCCUGUUUAGUUAUUCAUCAUAUCUUUGAAUUAUGUUGUGCUAUGCUAUCCAGUUUAGAUAGACAUCAUAUAUGUGAAAUUAUGUCAUGCUAUCCGUUUUAGUUAAACAAUAUACAUGUCAACUAUUUCAUGCCCUCUUUUUUCCACACUAUCUAUUGCAUCUGUCUCUCAUACAAUGUCUGUACAUUCAACUAUGUUUCCUGUUUAUCAGCCAUUUGAAUUGGACCGGGUGAUGCCAGUAUCUAGCAGACUAAAAACACGGUCUUCAAAUAAAACAGUGCUACCUCUUGGUGGAGAUAGCACCCCGGUUGUACAUGCACAAGAACCAGCCCUACCACACAUAACCCAAACUCUCACAGAUUGUACCCCUACUGCGAUGGACAGAGAACUAGCUUCACCCAAUCUAACCCCAACCCCAGCCGAUAGUAACCCAGUUCCUGUUGACACAGCACCAUCUCCACCACAGAGCUCCCAAACAAGAGCAGUUAGUAAGGCAGCUCCAGUGCCCAAAGGGCCAGUACUAUCACGGCGAACCCCAACUCCACCAGUUAGUACGCCUAUUCCUGUGGAGGAAGCACAACCAGCUAGUCGUAGUUUAGCAUCUUUCGCAUUUGAUGUUGUUAAAUCGUAUGUGUGUAUCUUCCCAUCUUGGAAAUAUUAUACUGAAGAUGAAGGAAAAUGUCAGUUGCAGGUGUUUGUCCAGGAGUUAUGUGUAAGUAAUGUUAUUCAUGGCAAUUACUUUGCUUCGUCCCAUACAUCCUACCUCCAUGAUGGUUAUAAUACAGCAAAUUUUCCCAUUUUUCUCUAUAGAGAAGGACCAAUUUGGAAACUCAGGAUGAGGUAACCUGUGCUAAUACCUCUGCUAUCUUCAAGAAUGCUUGAUGGAAGUAUCGGAAUUACCUAAACAAAACGUACUUCACCGGCAAAGAAACUCAUCAAAUUCCCUUACGUUCUCCUGAGACACAUUUACUGGAUGAUGACUGGGAACGUCUUGUUCUAUACUGGUCCCGAACCAAGAAUGUGGUAAGGUCUAUGAGCUCAUUUUCUAUUUUUAAGUAUUAUAUUCUUGCGUCUUACUGUACUCUGUUCAUGUAGAACAAGUGCCUAAACCUGAAGAACAACUGUUCUAAUUUAAGAUUCCAUUGCUAUCAUAGUUCAAAAAAGCGCUAGGCGUUAAUUGUGCGUUUUGCCACCGCCUUGCGCUUUACUGACCAAAGUGCAUGCAUAUGUGCAGUUAUGCACAGAUUAUGUGUAGUUAUGCGCAAUGCGUUUUGCCAACGCCUAGAGCCUAGGCGCGCUUAAGCGCUCGCUUAGGCGCGCCUUUUUUUAACUAUGAUUGCUUUGCUCUUGUAUCACUGUAUUUACUCAUACAAACUUAUUUUUAAAUUGAAGGAUCCAAUUGAAACUCCAAUGGCACAGCAGGUAUGUUCACGCAUGUUUCUUUAAUAGGUUUGCUCUUAUCAAUAGCUCUGUUGAUUUCAAUUUCAAUUGUGUAUACAGUUGACUUUCAUAUAAUGCACAUUACUAGCAUCACAACAGAGCCAAUAGUGCCGUUGUACAUGUAGACCCGUGGUACCCAUCUGAAAUCUUGUUGUGUCGUGUAGUUUCCCACGCUUUGUAUUCUUUCACUGCUGCUUUGUCUUGAACUGAUAUGAUUUGAACCGUGUCUCUAUUUUGAUUUGGCAAGACAAUGCAGUGAUCAUAGGACAUAGAUAUAUGUUUAUUUGAUGCUUUUAUUAUGUACUAGUACUUGGCAAUAGAAGACUUGGUAGUUUAAUCCUGUCCACCUUACUAAUGAACUGGUUCACCAAAAUGAGUUUCAUAUACUAGUACGUGCUAAACUUGGUAUGUGUCUGCUUGUUUCUUCUUUUAGAAUGCUGACAGAAUAUUGGGGAAGAGUGCCUUAUUAAGCAAUGGUAAAGGAAGUAAUGCAGAUAAGGUUCAGGAUAGUGACACAUCUUUGUUGGUCUCCAACAAAGCUGAUAAAACAGCUAAGGAAGACUAUCUUGAAGACAGCGAGACAACCCCAAAGUCCUGUCUUGGUUUAGUGUUCGAGUUACUGGCCACUACCGCUUGCACAAGCUAUUCAAACUCGUUGUCUGAAUCAGUUCAGUUUCUUGAGUCUCAACUACAAGCUGAAAGACAUCGAUCAGCUGUGUUGCGACAAGAAGCGGAAGGACUGCAGAAGUCCUUGGAGCAUUCAGAUGCAUACUUUCUGGUGCAACAGCAAGCGUUGGAGGAUUUUAGCGCCAAAUAGGACAAAGCUAAUCAGCUUGCUAAGCUUAUUGCCAGCAUGGUGGAUACCCAGGAUAACGUUUCUUGAGCUCUUCUAAAGUUGUUUCAGUUAUGCUCUUGUUUUGCUCCCACGUUUAUUUGAACUGGUGGCCAAUUUUGACGGCCAGUGUAUGUAAUGUGCUGCUUUGUUCCCUAUAUUUGCACUGGUGGCGAACUUUGAUACCCAGUGGAUGUAAUAUGUGUAAUAGCGGUAAUAGGCUAGUGUUAAUUGCUUGCUUAUUUAUUUCCUUAUUGUCUUGUUUAGUUGUUUGUUUGUAGUCACUGCAGUUAUUUUUCUGUUUUUUCUAGUGGCCACAAUAGCCUAUUUUUGGUAACUAGGCCAAAAUAAUCAUGGCAACACACGGAAUAUUGUAACCAUGGGCCUCCUGCAGGCCGUAUGAUCCAUGGGCCUUCGUCCGGCCGUAGGAUCCAUCGGUCUUCUAUACGGGCCUUAGGGUCCAUGGGCCUUCUACGGGCCAUAGGGUCCAUGGGCCUUCUACGGGCCAUACGAUCCAUGGGCCUUCUACGGGUCGUACUAUCCAUGGGCCACAUACGGGCCGUAGGAUCCAUAGGCCUUCUACGGGGUGUAUCAUCAUUUCGCCAAUCAUGGGCCGUACUAUUCGUGGACCAUAAUGGGCCGUUAAUAGGCCGUAUUUGAUAACUCUAUGAAAACAGCCCAACGGGUUUUUUUAACAUGAAAAUGGCCCAAUGUAUUAACGGUCCGCAAAUGGGCCGACUAUAACGAUGGGCUGAAUUUGGCCCACAAGCAGAAAAUGACAGUAACGGGCCGUAUGUAACCGAAUGCUGCAAAUGAGCCUAAGAAUCAAUGGGCCCUGAGAAGGCCGAAAUAUAACUUGGGCUGGAAACGGCCCAAUGGAAUAACGGGCCAUUAAUGGAUAUGAGGUGAUACACUAUUCUUUACGGGCCAGAUUCACCACGGACCGUUAAUGGGCCAAGAGUUACAAAGGUCCUCAUAUGGGCCGAAAGAAGUCAUGGGCCACACAUGGGCCGGAAGUUAAAACGGGCUGAAUCAUAUUAGACGGCCUAGAUGACGCUACUGGGCCUAAUUCGGAUAAGGCGUAACGGGCCCUGGGUUAGCGAGUUGUAAAUGGGCUAUAUGCGAAUAGGCCGUUAACAGGCUUUCCGUGGGCCGGCCCUCCACCUUUUGACCAAGUCAAACGGGCCGGCCUUUUCAUAGGAAUGGGCCUCUAUUGGGCCGUGCCACGUGUCGCCGUAUCAUAGGCGCCUUCGGUCCAAUGAGCGGAUGACAUCUGUCCCAACGGUGAGCCGACACGUGUUUCCUCCAGCCAAUGAUGAUUUUACACGUGGAAAAUCCCCAUUGGUCGGGGUUGUUAGCGGGUUAUUGGAUCCAAAACCCGACCCGAUAGCUUAACGGUGUUCCGUUACGGUGGAUGCCACAUGUCGGUCACCCUUGACGAAAGCACUUCUGUGACGCGCGAUUUAUCGUCAUGGAAGUGGACACUUCCGUGAUGAUAAUUUUGGUAAUGUCAUGGAACACUUCUACGACAGCACAGGUAUGACUAUCUUGAUUCUGUCAUAAAAUCGUCAUGGAUGUACAUGCAUGACAAAAAACACGACCUACUCUGACAAACACGUAUCAUCACGGAAGUGUAUUUUUUUUGUAGUGAAGUCUGUUGCUCGCUCCAUUGUUCCGGAGAACGGCGUUUUUAGUCAUCUUUCCCAUGAGGCAUGGUUUGCAAGUACCAAGUGAUUCAUAAUCAAGUGAUUCCAGAAGUCCAUCAGUAUGGAGUUUCUUCAUGUGCUUUACACCAAUAUGACCCAAACGGCAGUGCCACAAAUAAGUUGCACUAUGAUUAUCAACUCUGCAUCUUUUGGCUUCAACAUUAUGAAUAUGUGUGUCACUACUAUCGAGAUUCAAAUAAAAUAGACCACUCUUCAAGGGUGCAUGACCAUAAAAGAUAUUACUCAUAUAAAUAGAACAACCAUUAUUCUCAGAUUUAAAUGAAUAACCGUCUCGCAUCAAACAAGAUCCAGAUAUAAUGUUCAUGCUUAACGCUGACACCAAAUAACAAUUAUUCAGGUCUAAAACUAACCCCGAAGGUAGAUGUAGAGGUAGCGUGCCGACGGCGAUCACAUCGACUUUGGAACCAUUUCCUACGUGCAUCGUCACCUCGUCCUUAGCCAGUCUUCGCUUAAUCCGUAGUCCCUAUUUCGAGUUGGAAAUAUUAGCAACAGAACCAGUAUCAAAUACCCAGGUGCUACUGUGAGCUCUAGUAAGGUACACAUCAAUAACAUGUAUAUCACAUAUACCUUUGUUCACCUUGCCAUCCUUCUUAUCCGCCAAAUACUUGGGGCAGUUACGCUUCCAGUGACCAGUCCCUUUGCAGUAGAAGCACUUAGUCUCAGGCUUAGGUCCAGACUUGGGUUUCUUCUCCUGAGCAGCAACUUGUUUGCUGUUCUUCUUGAAGUUCCCUUUCUUCUUCCCUUUACCCUUUUUCUUGAAACUGGUGGUCUUGUUGACCAUUAACACUUGAUGCUCCUUCUUGAUUUCUACCUCCGCAGCUUUUAGCAUUGCGAAGAGCUCGGGAAUCGUCUUAUCCAUCCCUUGCAUAUUAUAGUUCAUCACGAAGCUCUUGUAGCUUGGUGGCAGUGAUUGAAGAACUCUAUCAAUGACACUAUCAACCGGAAGAUUAACUCCCAGCUGAGUCAAGUGAUUAUGGUACCCAGACAUUCUGAGUAUAUGUCCACUGACGGAACUAUUCUCCUCCAUCUUGCAGCUGUAGAACUUAUUGGAGACUUCAUAUCUCUCAAUCUGGGCAUUUGCUUGAAAUAUUAACUUCAACUCCUGGAAUCUCAUAUGCUCCAUGAUGUUAAAAACAUCGUUGAAGUCCCGGUUCUAAGUCGUAAAGCAUGGCACACUGAACUAUUGAGUAGUCAUCAGCUUUGCUCUGCCAGACGUUCAUAACAUCUGGCAUUGCUCCUGUAGUGGGUUUGGCACCCAGCGGUGCUUCCACGACGUAAUUCUUCUAUGCAGCAACGAGGAUAAUCCUCAAGUUACGGACCCAGUCUAUGUAAUUGCUACCAUCAUCUUUCAACUUUGCUUUCUCAAGGAACGCAUUAAAAUUCAACGGAACAACAACACGGGCCAUCUAUCUACAAUAACAUAGACAAGCAAAAUACUACCAGGUACUAAGUUCAUGAUAAAUUUAAGUUCAAUUAAUCAUAUUACUUAAGAACUCCCACUUAGAUAGACAUCCCUCUAAUCAUCUAAGUGAUCACGUGAUCCAUAUCAACCAAACCAUAACCGAUCAUCACGUGAAAUGGAGUAGUUUUCAAUGGUGAACACCACUAUGUUGAUCAUAUCUACUAUAUGAUUCACGCUCGACCUUUCGGUCUAAGUGUUCCGAGGCCAUAUCUGCAUAUGCUAGGCUCGUCAAGUUUAACCCGAGUAUGCGUGUGUAAAACUGUCUUACACCCGUUGUAGAUGAACGUUGAGCUUAUCACACGCGAUCAUCACGUGGUGUCUCGGCGCGACGAACUUUGGCAACGGUGCAUACUCAGGGAGAACACUUUUACCUUGAAAUUUAGUGAGAGAUCAUCUUAUAAUGCUACUGUCAAACAAAGCAGAAUAAGAUGCAUAAAGGAUAAACAUCACAUGCAAUCAAUAUAAGUGAUAUGAUAUGGCCAUCAUCAUCUCGUGCCUUCGAUCUCCAUCUCCAAAGCACCGUCAUGAUCACCAUCGUCACCGGCGCGACACCUUGAUCUCCAUCGUAGCAUCGUUGUCGUCUCGCCAACUAUUGCUUCUAUGAUAUAACCGAGGUGGAUUAUGGUGGAGGGGGCACCCCACAUGACUAAGAGAUCAACAGAUCAAUUGUUGUGUCUCCAAGGGGUGCCCCCUCCCCGUAUAUAAAUGAGGGAGAGGAGGAGGGGCGGCCAAGGAGGAGGAGGCGCGCCCAAGGCGGGUAAUCCUACUCCAAGUAGGAUUCCCCCUCUUUCCUAGUCCUAGUAGGAGAGGGGAAGGAAGGGGAGGAGAAGAAGAAGGAAAGGGGGGCGGCCCCUAGUCCAAUUCGGUUUGGGCUAGGGGGGCUGCGCGCCCCUAGCUGGCCGCCUCUCCUCUUCCUCCACUUGGGCCCAUAAGGCCCAAUAACCCCCCGGGAGGUUCCGGUAACCUCCCGGUUCUCCGGUAUUUAUCCGAUAACCCCCGGAACUCAUCCGGUGUCCGAAUAUAACCUUCCAAUAUAUUGAUAUUUAUGUCUCGACCAUUUUGGGACUCCUCAUCAUGUCUGUGAUCAUAUUCGGGACUCCGAACUACCUUUGGUACAUCAAAACACAAAAACUCAUAAUACUGAUCGUCACAAAACUUGAAGCGUUCGGACCCUACGGGUUCGGGAACUAUGUAGACAUGACCGAGACACGUCUCCGGUCAAUAACCAAUAGUGGAACCUGGAUGCUCAUAUUGGUUCCUACAUAAUCUACGAAGAUCUUUAUCGGUCAAACCGCAUAACAACAUACGUUGUUCCCUUUGUCAUCGGUAUGUUACUUUCCCGAGAUUCGAUCGUCGGUAUCUCAAUACCUAGUUCAAUCUCGUUACCGGCAAGUAUCUUUACUCAUUACGUAAUGCAACAUCUCGCAACUAACUCAUUAGUCACAUUGCUUGCAAGGCUUAUAGUGAUGUGCAUUACCGAGAGGGCCCAGAGAUACCUCUUCGACAAUCGGAGUAACAAAUCCUAUUCUUGAUCUAUGCCAACUCCACGAACACCAUCGGAGACACAUGUAGAGCACCUUUAUAAUCACCCAGUUACGUAAUGCAAUAACCAAAGUCACUAAUAGCGGAGAACAAAAGAAGAGAUUAUGGUAGGGUACGAAACCACCUCAAAGUUAUCCUUUCUGAUCGAUCUAUUCAAGAGUCCAUAGUAAAAUAACAUGAAGCUAUUAUUUCCGUUCAAUCUAUCAUAGAGUUCGUACUAGAAUAACACCUUGAGACACAAAUCCACCAAAACCCUAAUGUCACCUAGAUACUCCAAUGUCACCUCAAGUAUCCAUGGGUAUGAUUAUAUGAUAUGCAUCACACAAUCUCAUAUUCAUCUAUUCGACCAACACAAAUAACUUCAAAGAGUGCCCUAAAGUUUCUAUCGGAGAGUCAAGACGAAAACGUGUGCCAACCCCUAUGCAUAAGUUCACGAGGUCACGAAACUCGCAAGUUGAUCAGCAAAACAUACAUCAAGUGGAUCACAUGAUAUCCCAUUGUCAGCACAGAUAAGCACGUGCAAGACAUACAUCAAGUGUUCUCAAAUCCUUGAAGACUCAAUCCGAUAAGAUAACUUCAAAGGGAAAACUCAAUUCAUCACAAGAGAGUAGAGGGGGAGAAACAUCGUAAGAUCCAACUAUAAUAGCAAAGCUCGUGAUACAUCAAGAUCGUACCACCUCAAGAACACGAGAGAGAGAGAGAGAGAGAGAGAGAGAGAGAUCAAACACAUAGCUACUGGUACAUACCCUCAGCCCCGAGCAUGGACUACUCCCUCCUCGUCAUGGAGAGCACGGGAUGAUGAAGAUGGCCACCGGAGAGGGAUUCCCCCCUCCGUCAGGAUGCCAGAACGGGUUUCGAUUGGUUUUCUCUGGCUACGGAGGCUUCUGGCGGCGGAACUCCCGAUCUAUUCUGUUCCCCGAUGUUUCUAGGGUAUAUUGAUAUAUAUAGGCGAAAGAAGUCGGUCAGGGGAGCCACGAGGGGCCCAUGAGGGUAGGGCGCGCCUCCCUACCUCGUGGCCACCUCGAAGCUUCCCUGACGUCUACUCCAAGUCUUCUGGAUUGCUUCUGUUCCAAAAAUAACUCUCCCGAAGGUUUAAUUCCGUUUGGACUCUGUUUGAUAUUCCUUUUCUUCGAAACAUUGAAAUAGGCAAGAAAACAGGAAUUUGGGCUAGGCCUCCGGUUAAUAGGUUAUUCCUAAAAAUAAUAUAAAAGUGUAUAAUAAAUCCCAUAAGCAUCCAAAACAGGUAAUAUAAUAGCAUGGAACAAUAAAAAAUUAUAGAUACGUUGGAGACGUAUCAAGCAUCCCCAAGCUUAAGUCCUGCUCGUCCUCGAGUAGGUAAAUGAUAAAAACAGAAUUUUUGAUGUGGAAUGCUACCUAACAUAUUUAUCCAUGUAAUUCUCUUUAAUGUGGCAAGAAUAUUCAGAUCCGAAAGAUUCAAGACAAAAGUUUAAUAUUGACAUAAAAAUAAUAAUACUUCAAGUAUACUAACUAAGCAAUCAUGUCUUCUCAAAAUAACAUGGCCAAAGAAAGUUAUCCCUACAAAAUCAUAUAGUCUGGCUAUGCUUUAUCUUCACCACACAAAAUAUUAAAUCAGGCACAACCCGAUGACAAGCCAAGCAAUUGUUUCAUACUUUUGAUGUUCUCAAACCUUUUCAAUCUUCACGCAAUAUAUGAGCGUGAGCCAUGGAUAUAGCACUAUGGUGGAAUAGAAUGGUGAUUGUGGAGAAGACAAAAAAGGAGAAGAUAGUCUCACAUCAACUAGGUGUAUCAACGGGCUAUGGAGAUGCCCGUUAAUAUAUAUCAAUGUGACUGAGUAGGGAUUGGCAUGCAACAGAUACACUAGAGCUAUAAGUAUAUGAAAGCUCAACGAAAUAAACUAAGUGGGUGUGCAUCCAACUCGCUUGCUCAUGAAGACCUAGGGCAUUUUGAGGAAGCCCAUCAUUGGAAUAUACAAGCCAAGUUCUAUAAUAAAAAAUUCCCACUAUUAUAUGAAAGUGAUAUCAUAGGAGACUCUCUAUCAUGAAGAUCAUGGUGCUACUUUGAAGCACAAGUGUGGAAAAGGAUAGUAGCAUUGUCCCUUCUCUCUUUUUCUCUCAUUUUUGGGGCCUUCUCCUUUUUUUGGCCUUUAUUUUUUUCGUCCGGAGUCUCAUCCCGACUUGUGGGGGAGUCAUAGUCUCCAUCAUCCUUUCCUCACUUGGGACAAUGCUCUAAUAAUGAUGAUCAUCACACUUUAUUUACUUACAACUCAAGAAUUACAACUCGAUACUUAGAACAAAAUAUGACUCUAUGUGAAUGCCUCCGGCGGUGUACCGGGAUGUGCAAUGAUGCAUGAGUGACAAAUACGAUGUCAACUACAUGAUCACGCAAGCAAUAUGACAAUGAUGAAGCGUGUCAUAAUAACGGAAUGGUGGAAAGUUGCAUGGCAAUAUAUCUCGGAAUGGCUAUGGAAAUGCCAUAAUAGGUAGGUAUGGUGGUUGUUUUGAGGAAGGUAUAUGGUGGGUGUAUGAUACCGGCGAAAAGUGCACGGUAUUAGAGAGGCUAGCAAUGGUGGAAGGAUAAGAGUGCAUAUAAUCCAUGGACUCGACAUUAGUCAUAAAGAACUCAUAUACUUGUUGCAAAAAUCUAAAAUUUAUCAAAGCAAAGUAUUACGUGCAUGCUCCUAGGGGGAUAGAUUGGUAGGAAAAGACCAUUGCUCGUCCCCGACCGCCACUCAUAAGUAAGACAAUCAAUAAAUAAAUCGUGCUCUGACUUCAUCACAUAACAGUUCACCAUAUGUGCAUGUUAUGGGAAUCACAAACUUUAACACAAGUACUUCUCAAAUUCAUAACCACUCAACUAGCAUGACUCUAAUAUCACCAUCUUCAUAUCUCAAAACAAUUAUCAAGCAUCAAACUUCUCAUAGUAUUCAAUGCACUUAUAUGAAAGUUUUUAUUAUGCCUAAAAGCAAAUUACCAUGCUGUUAUAAAGACUCUCAAAAUGAUAUAAGUGAAGCAUGAGGGUCCAUCUAUUUCUUCAAAAUAAAACCACCGCCAUGCUCUAAAAAGAUAUAAGUGAAGCGCUAGAGCAAAACACAAACCACUCCAAAAGAUAUAAGUGAAGAUGAAUGAGUAGUCGAAUAAUUAUGCAACUAUGUGAAGAAUAUCUAACAUUUAAGAAUUUCAGAUCUUGGUAUUUUAUUCAAACAUCAAGCAAAACAAAAUAAAAUGACGCUCCAAGCAAAACACAUAUCAUGUGGUGAAUAAAAAUAUAGCUCCAAGUAAAGUUACCGAUGAACGAAGACGAAAGAGGGGAUGCCUUCCAGGGCAUCCCCAAGCUUAGGUUCUUGGUUGUCCUUGAAUAUUACCUUGUGUUGCCUUGGGAAUCCCCAAGCUUGGGCUCUUUCCACUCCUUAUUCCAUAGUCCAUCGAAUCUUUACCCAAAACUUGAAAACUUCACAACACAAAACUUAACAGAAAACUCGUAAGCUCCGUUAAUAUAAGAAAAUAAAUCACCACUUAGGAAAUGUUGUGAACUCAUUAUAAAUUCAUAUUGGUGUAAUAUCUACUGUAUUAAAACUCAUAUAUGGUUCAUACCCUCUGAUGCUACUCAUAGAUUCAUCUAAAUAAGCAAACAACACAUGGAAAACAGAAUCUGUCAAAAACAGAACAGUCUGUAGUAAUAUGGAUCAAACGUAUACUUAUGGAACCCCAAAAAUUCUAAAAUAAAUUUUUGGACGUGAGGAAUUUAUCUAUUAAUCAUCUUCAAAAAUAAUUAACUAAAUAGAACUCUCCAAUAAAAAAUGGCAGCAAAUCUCGUGAGCGCUAAAGUUUCUGUUUUUUUACAGCAUGAUUGCAAAGACUUUCCCCAAGUCUUCCCAAAAGUUCUACUUGGCACAAACACUAAUUAAAAGCAUAAAAACUCAAUCAUAACAUAGGCUAUAUAAAUUAUUUAUCACUAAACAUGAACAAAAAGCAAGGAACAAAAAUAAAAUUGGGUUACCUCCCAACAAGCGCUAACGUUUAAUGCCCUUAGCUAGGCAUGAUGAUUUCAAUGAUGGUCACAUAAAAGGUAAGAAUUGAAACAUAAAGAGAGCAUCAUGAAGAAUAUGACUAGCACAUUUAAGUCUAACCCACUUCCUAUGCAUAGGGAUUUUGUGAGCAAACAACUUAUGGGAACAAUAAUUAACUUGCAUAGGAAGGUAAAACAAGGAUAACUUCAAGAUUUUAAGCACACAGAGAGGAAACUUGAUAUUAUUGCAAUAUGUAGAAGCAUAUGUUCCUCUCUCAUAAUAAUUUUCAGUAGCAUCAUGAAUAAAUUCAACAAUAUAACCAUCACAUAUAGCAUUCUUUUCAUUAUCUACAAGCAUAGAAUUUUUACUACUCUCCACGUAAGCAAAAUUCUUCUCAUUCGGAAUAGUGGGAGUAUCAUAAGAAACUCGAAUACUAUAAAUUGUUUCCACAUUAAAAGAGUAAUGUUCAAAAAAAGGGUAAUCAUAAUCAUGACAAGUUUUAUAAAUAUAAUCAUCACUACUUUUUAUAGCAUAAGUGUCAUCACAAUAAUCAUCAUAGGUAGCAACUUUGUUCUCAUCAUAAUCAAUUGAAACCUCUUCCAAGAUAGUGGAAUCAUUACUAAAUAAAUUCAUGACCUCUACAAAUCCAUUUUCAUAAUUAUCACAAUAAGAUUCAACAUCCUCCAAAAUAGUGGGAUUACUACUUCCUAAAGUUGACACUCUUCCAAACCCACUUUCAUCAAUAUAAUCAUCAUAAGUAGGAGGCAUGCUAUCAUCAUAACAAAUUUGCAUAUCAAAACUUGGGAGGCUAGAAAUAUCAUCUUCAUUAAACAUAGCAUCCCCGAGCUUGGGACAAACAUUAAUUGCAGCAAAUAUAUUCUCAAACAUGUCAUUCUCAUCAAACAUAGCAUCCCCAAGCUUGGUCCUUUUCAUAUCAUAAGCAUAAUCACUCUCAUCAUUAAUAGUAUGGAUAGCACCAAUAGUAUAACAAUUAUCAUUAUCACAAUGAGUAAUAGGAGCAACAUCAUUUGGGAGGGAUACAUUUUUACCUUUGCUUCUCCGUAUUUUCUUUUUCUUCUUCACAUCAUGUGUGGGUUCAAUCCUCUUUUCGGAGCUCCUUAUUGAUGAGAUUGGUUGAAUAGAAGGCUCCUCCUUGUUACCUGAUUCAUCAUGAGAAAUAAUAGGAGGAUAUUGGGAAGCCUCUUCCCUUUCAUUAGUAUUCUCUUCAUCCUCUAUUUGUUUUUUUCUUUAUGUAAUUGGCAAUAUAAGGAUUUUCAAUGCAAUUCACCGCACAAUACAUAUAAAUUUCCUCUAGAUCAAAAUUAAGAACUCUAUCAAGGGCAAAUUCUGGAAUAACCUUAGAUAUACGUUUCAUUUCUUCAUAACCCAAGAGCAAACUAAGUUCAUUAUGAUGCGUAAGGGAAAUCAAGUCAUCACAAUUUUUGGAUACAAUACGAUCAUGAAACCAUUUGCAUUGGGUACUGAAAUGAUCACGUUCAUUACAAAGUUCACAAGUAUGGCUAAGAAAGUUUAAAUUUUCAGCACAAACAUCUAGGCUUUCUUGCAACCAUUUAGUUUCCAAAUACUUAUGCCUCUUGCAAAAUCUAUCUUUCCUGUUUGGUAUGUACUUGCAAACUCUAUGCACUCCACAAAAAUCGAUAUGCUUAUAAGAGAUAUUUUCAUCAUGACUAGUCCAAUCAUCAUUAGUACUAUGGAUAUUCAAAGAGUUCAUACUAAUAACAUUGCAAUCAUGAUCAUCAUUCAAAGAUUUAGUGCCAAAUAUUUUAUAGACUUCUUCUUCUAGCACUUGAGCACAAUUUUCCUUUCCAUCAUUCUCACAAAAUAUAUUAAAAAGAUGAAGCAUGUGAGGCAAACUCAAUUCCAUUUUUUGUAGUUUUAUUUUAUAAACUAAACUAGUGCUAAAACAAGAAACAAAAAGAUUCGAUUGCAAGAUCUAAAGAUAUACCUUCAAGCGCUAACCUCCCCGGCAACGGCGCCAGAAAAGAGCUUGAUGUCUACUACACAACCUUCUUCUUGUAGACGUUGUUGGGCCUCUAAGUGCAGAGGUUUGUAAGACAGUAGCAAAUUUCCCUCAAGUGGAUGAUCUAAGGUCUAUCAAUCUGUGGGAGGCGUAGGAUGAAGAUGGUCUCUCUCAAACAACACUGCAACCAAAUAACAAAAAGUCUCUUCUGUCCCCAACACACCUAAUACAAUGAUUAAUUGUAUAGGUGCACUAGUUCGGCGAAGAGAUGGUGAUACAAGUGCAAUAUGGAUAGUAGAUAUAGGUUUUUGUAAUCUGAAAAUAUAAAAACAGCAAGGUAACUAAUGAUAAAAGUGAGCAAAAACGGUAUUGCAAUGCGUGGAAACAAGGCCUAGGGUUCAUACUUUCACUAGUGCAAGUCCUCUCAACAAUAAUAACAUAAUUGGAUCAUAUAACUAUCCCUCAACAUGCAACAAAGAGUCACUCCAAAGUCACUAAUAGCGAGAACAAACGAAGAGAUUAUGGUAGGGUACAAAACCACCUCAAAGUUAUCCUUUCUGAUCGAUCUAUUCAAGAGUCCGUAGUAAAAUAACAUGAAGCUAUUCUUUCCAUUCAAUCUAUUAUAGAGUUCGUACUAGAAUAACACCUUAAGACACAAAUCAACCAAAACCCUAAUGUCACCUAGAUACUCCAAUGUCACCUCAAGUAUCCAUGGGUAUGAUUAUACGAUAUGCAUCACACAAUCUCAGAUUCAUCUAUUCAACCAACACAAAGAACUUCAAAGAGUGCCCCAAAGUUUCUACCGAAGAGUCAAGACAAAAACCUGUGCCAACCCCUAUGCAUAAGUUCACGAGGUCACGGAACUCGCAAGUUAAUCACCAAAACAUACAUCAAGUGGAUCACAUGAUAUCCCAUUGUCACCACAGAUAAGCACGUGCAAGACAUACAUCAAGUGUUCUCAAAUCCUUAAAGACUCAAUCCGAUAAGAUAACUUCAAAGGGAAAACUCCAUUCAUCACAAGAGAGUAGAGGGGGAGAAACAUCAUAAGAUCCAACUAUAAUAGCAAAGCUCGCGAUACAUCAAGAUCGUACUACCUCAAGAACACGAGAGAGAGAGAGAGAGAGAGAGAGAGAGAGAGAUCAAACACAUAGCUACCGGUACAUACCCUCAGCCCCGAGGAUGGACUACUCCCUCCUCGUCAUGGAGAGCACGGGAUGAUGAAGAUGACCACCGGAGAGGGAUUCUCCCCUCCGGGAGGGUGCCGGAACGGGUCUAGAUUGGUUUUCGGUGGCUACGGAGGCUUCUGGCGGCGAAACUCCCAACAUAUUCUGUUCCCCGAUGUUUCUAGGGUAUAUUGAUAUAUAUAGGCGAAAGAAGUCGGUCAGGGGAGCCAUGAGGGGCCCACGAGGGUCGGGGCGCGCCCAGGGGGUAGGGCGCGCCUCCCUGCCUCGUGGCCACCUCGAAGCUUCCCUGACGUCUACUCCAAGUCUUCUGGAUUGUUUCCGUUCCAGAAAUAACUCUCCCGAAGGUUUAAUUCCGUUUGGACUCCGUUUGAUAUUCCUUUUCUUCGAAACACUGAAAUAGGCAAGAAAACAAGAAUUUGGGCUGGGCCUCCGGUUAAUAGGUUAGUCCCAAAAAUAAUAUAAAAGUGUAUAAUAAAGCUCAUAAACAUCCAAAACAGGUAAUAUAAUAGCGUGGAACAAUCAAAAAUUAUAGAUACGUUGGAGACGUAUCAAUAGACACAAUGAACUUCAGAAAGACUUGAUGGGGUGUACUGGAAAUGGCAUAGCGAAAGAAUUGCCUAGUUUCAUUAUUUAUUUGUCUUAUUGUGCAAGAACUUUGUUGUAUUUCUGUUGCAUUUGAUGUUGUUGAUUUGAUGAAUUAUGUAAUAAUUUGAUAUUGUGGACAGGUGAAAAUUUUAAGUUUUAAUUCAGGAUAUUUUUAUUUCAAAUUGUGCGGUUGUACAGUGGUCGUACACAGCCGCGCGGCUAUCAGCCAGUUUUACAUCUUCACAUUGGCAUCAUCUAUUGGAGUUGGACUACUACAUCACCAAUAUACAUCAUCUGUUGGAGUUGGGUAAUUUUUGGAGAUGUGAAAAGCACUUUUUAGUGAUGUAAAUUAUAUAACACCUAGUUUUACAUCUCCAAAUUUGCAUCAUCUAUUGGAGAUGCUCUUAGGGCAUUUCCAAUGAAUGCCUAUCAAAAUGGAUACCUUAAAUGUUUACAGACAUGUCAAAAUGUUGUUCGUGCACAUUUACUGAUGCCAAUUGACAUACUGCAAACCUCAGUUAUGCUAUUUUGCUAUGUGUGUUUUAAACUAUUCAUUAUCGAUGGAGUCUCCUCCGAUAUAUCAGGUUGUGGUGUCCCUGGAUCUCGAAGAUGGACGAGGUUCUUUCUUUUGGGAGGACAAAUGAGUUAAUUGAUUGAGGAUUCAACAGAUUGCGCCAAAAUGGUAUGAUCGUGUCCUGUUGGAUUUCGGGUUCCGGCAAAACCCUUGAGGUUCGAACACUGGGGUGCGCACGAAGAUCUCUUCUCCCUCUAGCUCACGCCCUCACCGCAAUCUCGAGGCUCAACGCAUCAAACUUGCGGAACAAAGGGACACAAGAUUUAUACUGGUUCGGGCCACUGAUAUGGUGUAAUACCCUACUCCAGUGUGGUGUGGUGGAUUGUCUCUUGGGCUGAGGAUGAACAGUUACAAGGGAUGAACAGCCUCCUGAGGAGAGUUCUUGUGAUUGGUGAGGUUUUCUGGUGACCUUGGUGGAAUGGAUCCGGUCCAAGAUGAGAUGCCUCCCUACGGUGGUGGCUAGUCCUAUAUAUAGAGGCACGGGUCCUCUUCCCAAAUAUUAAGCGGGAAGGGAUCCCACAACGGCCAAUGUGAAGGGGGACGGCUAGUACAAGCUAUCCUGACAAAAGGUGGUCUUCUCCUGCCAAGGCUCUGGUGGUGACGCCGUCCUGGGCUCCACGGUGACCUCCAUCCUGCCGUCCUACUGGUCUUGGUCUCGUUGAACCGAUAUGGAAACCUUUGUCUGCUACCUCGGGACUCCUCGCCUGUGCUUGCCUCUUUAGCAGCAAAGAGGAAACAAGUACACUGUGCGCGCUGGCGCCCGCCUGGUGCCCGCCUGGCCUUGGUCGUCAUGGCUUGCGUCAUAUAUAGGAACCUCGCGAGGUGCCCCUUGCCUUGAUUUCUCUGCCCCUCGUGAGCCAGCCUGGUGAGGCCGCCCCCGAGGAGGUCUUGCGUCGUCUACCUCGCGAGGCUCGGCCCCUCGCGAGGGUCUUGAGUGUUUGCUGGUGAAUAUGGGCUAUACGGGGCCGCUGAGGAGCCACGCCGUGGGCCACAAGCAGGAAAGUCUCGGGACCCCCGUUCCCAGGACGCCGACAGUAGCCCCCGGGCCCAAGGCGCGCUCGGACUUGGCUUCGAGGUGAAGCCAAAGGGCAAGUGCGGAGCGCCGCGGGCCCCAACAGCCUGCGGCCUCGGUUGACGCAUGGCGAUUGAUGGGAUGUUGGCGGCCCCAUUUCCCCACGCAGCCUUGAUAUCCGCCUAGCUUGGCGGCCACCAUGACUUACACAGUUAUUCCCUCGCUGCUGGCGACACGCUUCUCCAAUUCUUCUGCCUUCCAAAACAACAAACUCCUCUCCCAACUUAACCUGAGCUUGGCCCUCCCCAUUGUCAUGGCGCCGAGCCGAAUGGGGAAGGGGAAGAAGAAGUCCCAGUCUUUAGCCGAGCCACCUCCGAGCAUUGAACCCGCCGUUGGUCAGUCGUUGGUGCUCAACGAGGAAGCCAUGGACAGGUCCGCCCAGCGCUCGCCACCGGCUUCAACGAAUGGGGGAAGACGGUGGCCUGGCCAGCAUCCCGCGCCUCUGUUGAUAGGACAGCAACCGAGGUCCAAUUCUCCAUUGAAGCCCUGUGGGCUGGCCUGGUUCCUCCCUUUUCCACCUUCUUCAACGCCAUGCUUUCCCACUAUCAGAUCCAUAUGCUGCACCUAGAUCCCCAAUCUGUUUCCCUUCUUGCCAUUUUCGCCUUCGUCUGCGAGGCCAUGGUGGGCAUUGCUCCUUCCGUGGCCCUACUGCGCCAUUUCUUCUCGCUGCACCUGACCGAUCCUCAACAAUGCUCGGGAUGCCUAAGCUUCCAGGCCGUGGCUGCGACAACAGGCUCGGGGAUUGACUUUGAGCUCCCACCAUCUAUGAGCGGGUUUCAGACACGAUGGGUGUUCGUGGAUGUCAGUGUGCUCAGCCCCCUGCUUUCGCCCCCUUUGGUGCCCGCCAUUCCUAGCUCCGGCUGGGGCCACGAGAAGCUCGCGGACCCCCGCCUUGCCUUCGUCUGGCUCCGGUUGAAGAGGCUGAAAGAUCUCGGCGUGACUGCGCCCAUGGUGAUGAAGGAGUCCCUCCGACGCCACGUCGCCCCACUCCAGUGCCAUUCCCGGCUGAUGUGGGCCUUGUCUGACGGCCAGGAUCGCAUGAGGCUUCGGGAGUCGUGGCUUCCGCUCGAGGCGCGAAGAAUGGUGCUCGAGGUCCUGACGGGCGACCCCUCGCCAGCCGAUAUGCCGCAGGAGGGUUGUCUUUUGUACUGCUACUCGAAAAGGGUGAAGUUCACGGGGCAGAUGCCCCCUUCGAUGAAUGGGGGCUGCGUCCAGUCGGCCUUGAAGGGCCCCGCGAGAACCCUGUCUCCGUGGUUCCCCUCCUUGCCGCCAGCGCCAAACUUACCCCAAGAGUGGAUGCAGGGGGAGAGCACCGCUAGAGGCCGGAGGCGCGGGUGCUGAGGCGUCGGCACCGCUCGAGGCUCCUGAGGUGCCACCCCCGGGAUCCCGCGACUCUUGCCCUGGGGUGACAGCUGAGGGGGCGACGCAAUCCGCUGCUCCUGAGGCCGAAGCUUCCGAGGUCUCAGCAGGUCAUCAUGAGGCGGAGCCAGUGGUCUCCCCUCAGCCCAGCACUCCCGAGGUCGUCUCCUCAGGUGCCCCACCAACCGCGCCCUGCGCUGGUGGCUGCGUCCAAGGCUUCGGCAAGCUCUGUCUGGACUUUGAUGCGCUCCGCAAGAGGAAAGAGUCUCCAAGCUGCAGCAGUGAUGCCUUCCGGCCGUUGAAGCAGAGGAAGUAUAUCGCCAUAGACGAGUGAGUACCUUAUCUUUGUAAUUUCUCGAGUGCUGCUUCUCCUCCUGACUGUGGCUCCUCAGGGUCCCUUCUGCUAAGGCGGCGAAGUCUCCCGGGAAGCAACCAUCUCCUGCCUCAAAUUCCCCGUUGGCCUUGAGCGCCCCAAGCCAGCAUGCCGCACCCGGCGCGAGGUUGGCCGGAGAGGCAAACACGCUAGCCUGACGCCUUGAGCCCGCGCCUUUGCCGUCUCUCCUUCGUGGCCUCGCCUGGGGUGCGGCAAGUGUGCCAAGGGCUUCUCCUCUGGUUGUGGACGGCGGCGGGGUGACCUCAAUCAUGGCUUCUUCUUCAAGCAACGGGCCUCAAGCCACGCGAUCCCCUGCUGAAGCCCAGUCGGCGGCCCGGGAGGCGCCAGCCCCCAGCCCCCCUGCCGAAAGGGGGUGAGCCGCUUCGAAUCCCAUCAACUACCCCCGCUGCAGGGGACGAACCCGGUUGCGCGCUUAAGUUUGCGCACGAGCGGAGUGUCAUCCGCCACGAGCUCUUUCAGGAGGCAAUGGGCGCGAUGAGCUGGCUCGGCGGAGAACUCGGGGACGUCGACGCUCGCCUUGAAGCCGAAGGCCUCCGGCUGGUGGAGUGGCAUCAACUAAAGGUGGCUAUCAACCUCGGGCGCCUCCAGCGCGAGCACGCCAAUGCGAAGGCCGAGGCAUCCCUAGCAACCUCGCGAGAGGCCAGCGCCCGGGCCUUGGAGGAGGCCAGGGAGGCGGACAAUCACCACGCGGUCGCCGAGGAGCGCAGGCAGGAGCUCCAGGCCUUGAACGCCUCCCUGGAGCAGCAGGUGGAGGCGCACAGAGUUGCCCUGGCGUCGAUGAAGCGUGCUCUGUCCGACGAGGAGGAGAUCUUGAGGCGUGAGGAAGCACUAUUGCUGGAGGCCACGAAGCGCAGCCUUGAGCUUGAGCAGUUGGAGACGAGGGAGCGCCAAGUCGCCCAAGCAGAGGAUGUUGUCGGCGCACGUGAGGCCAGGUCCCAUGAGGAGGUCGACCGCAGGGUGGCCGAGGCUCGCGCGGAUCUUGCUGGCAGGUACGACCUGAAGCUAAAGCUCGUGGAAGCUGAAGGUGUGGGCAGGACCGCUGCCCUAAGGUCAGGGCUGGCUGAGGUGGAACAGCGCGAGAAAGCCGUCGCAGCCGCCCUGAUCUCGGUGCAGGCCGAGCUGGCCUCCGCCCGUGACGAGCUGCUCUCUCUUCAGCAGCGGGUUGCCAGCGCCGAGUCCUUUGCGCAGCAAAGCAGGGAGGAGGCACUUCGCCGGCAGAUGCUACUGCGCGAGCACACUCCCAUACUUGGGACCUCGGGACGAAGGCCAACCAGGCGCUUGGUGUCAUCUGCGAUGAGCAUGCUCCUCAUCCCCACGCCGAGGAUUACGCCAGCCAUCUUCGCUUCUUCACUAAUGUUGUUACGUGCCUGGAGAGCCGUGCUGAGAGGGCUCCCGAGCUUGUGGACGAAAAGAGCCAAGGCCUUCUCGGGCGCGCAUUCUCCCUCGUCUUCAGCCAUCUCCUGAACACCAAUCCUGACUUUAAUUUUGCCGCCGCCAUUGCCCUAGUGCCCGCGGUCAUUCGGGGCAACCUCGCGCACUGGGUGGACGACAAUGUGGACGCUCUGGUUAGGGCCUUUGCUUCUGAUGAUGACGCUGUUGCUGUGGUGGUCGUCGCGGAUGAGGGAGACGUGGUUGAUGGCGGCGAAGCUGAUGGCAGUGUGGCUGAUGGCAGUGAAGAUAGCGACAGCGAUGGCACUAGCAGCCUGUCCGGAAGCUAUUCGGGGGACGAGGCGAGCGAUAUGUCCGGUUGAGCCCUCGCUCCUUUUUUUUGAACCUGCACGCAAAAGCUUGGGUACGGCCCCUCACGAUGUAAGAGCAUUUUAGAGAGGGGAAGCCCUUCAUGUAAAUAGACUACCACUUCAUUCCUUAGGCUAGGCUUAAAGCGUGCUUUUGGGUGCUCGCGACUCCCCUUGCGGGCUUAAUGCCGUAACUUACUUUGGUUUAGCCGGGCUUCAAACUGGUUUGGCGGUUGUGGACGUGCAUUCCUUCUGAGAGGAGCCCCUCACGAGCUCACGAGGUUUUGGUUUCCUGAGAGGUCCGCCGGUCCACCCGAGAGGGUCUCGCGAGAAGCGAGCGCCAGUAACGGCAAGGUGUACGCGCAUCGCGCGCACGCUGCUGCCAGCCCCCGCUCGCGAGGACUUUGCGCCUUUUACAAUCAUUAGCAGCAUUCUAAGAUAAUAAAGUUCACCAACAGAAGGAUGCACAUAAUAAAUCCUACCAAUUCUUUUGCCAAGUUUUCUUUUCAUCCAUACCUUACUCUGUGCAUUCCAAGACCAUUUUGUGGGAAAAUCACAUUAUGUUAAAGACCUGGCACUUUUGUAUCUAGCAUUAGCAACAAACCAUUCUGUUAACAUGGUUUUGUGCAGCAAAGAAUUGUUAACAAUGGCCUUAAGGUUGGCCCUUGCACGAAAUCGCACAAUAUGUUUAUUUGGUAAAUGAACAACAAGUCUUUCUACAGAAGGUUCUUUACUGUGUAUGUCAUACCCAUAACACCUCCAAAAUGAAUCAUGGGCACAUACGUAUCGACACGCUCUAUACUCUUCAAUUUCAUCCACCCCAUUAUCAUUUGGAUCCUCAGAAUUUUUUAUCCUAUCAAACAGAGUUUUUGACAUGUCAGGGCCCUUGGUAACAUACUUAUACAGAUAUUUUAAGACAUGUGUUUUGUUACACCACUCAACAUUUAAAUGAGCUUGAUAUUUCUUUAGCAUUGCCAUGUUAUAAGGCACAACGUGCCCAUUAUCAAGCCUAGUCUUGUUUUUCAUGAUAAAACGGCCAUUAUUUGGACGCCUGUAGACAGGAAAGCCUACUUCAUCAAUCGAUGUUUCUUCCACAUGGCCCAUGCAUCAUGAACUCAGCAACGAGGGCAUAUCCAAGAGGAUCUGCCACGGGAUCAGGAAUUUGUGCACACACAAACGAAUCAAUCAAAGAAGGGCUAACCUCACCCCGCUUCUCUUUGUCUUGCCAAGUAUAUGCGCGUGUGGUAAGCCCCUUUUUUGAAAUUCCACAGUGUGCAAAACUGGGAGAAGGUAGUCAAGUUAAACCCAAAAAAAAUCUCCACAGAGAAAGUAAGCAACAGGUUGCAUUACUUGCGACCACUUUGCCGAAGGUACUCAUUAAGUUUCAUGUGAUACACCCUAACAGUAAUAUCAGCCCUAUUAUGUGGUCUCUGGCCAGGUUCAACAGAAAGAGCUUCCGUUAUCUCAGGCCACUUAGGAUUACAUGCGAAAGUAGUAAAAAGCUCAGGACAACCAUGCACACGGGCGAUAGCCACCGCAUCCUGAAAAUUUUCGAUCAUAUAACGGCGUCCACCAGUAAAAGAAGAGGGCAAUAUUUUUUUUACCAACUGAACUUCCAUCUAUGCGGCCCGCUCCAACCGCAUCUACAAGCCCUUGUAAAUUCUCAGCUCUCAGAUCAUCGUUGCAUAGCAAAAUAAAAUGUAGCCUAGACUCAUCUGUGCAUACACGAGAAUCUACAACUGCCUGAUCAGACAACAGACCACAAGACAAACAAGGGUUAUGCUGGCCUUCUUUAUAGUGUGAACAAAAACAAUAAAAAUCCUGCAUGGUCAUUUUCUCUCUUUUGUUGGAACCUUCGUGAUCUACCGCUAUGUAUUUCACACCAAGCUGAAAUCCACGCUCACCGAACGGAAAGAGUAGAGGGUAUUGUAAAGCCAUAUAAGCAGGAUGUAAAGACGAAAUUUGCUGCAAAUGUGUUCCCCUACCAUGUAUUAUUAUAUCACGGCUAGGAGUUUCCAUUGUUAAUUCAUCAACAACUAAGCAUGCAAGCUCAUCCGUGGAAGGAAGAUUAAACUGAGGGCCAUCAUCUUUGCCAGGAGCAACUAUACGAAUAGAAAUUUCAGCAAAUUCAUCUCAGCCAAGAUCUCCUCAGCGAUGCGGAAUUUUUUUACAAGAGAAUUGUGCUCAUCAAGCAUGAGCUUCAGACCAUUAACAAUAUCCUUAUCUAACCCACCCAGAAUUCUAUCUUCCUUGUUUAAAGCCUGAAUUCGAUUAUCAAUCUCAUUUCCACCAUGAAACACAUACAGCUCUGCAAAUUUUGGAGCAUUCCCUUCCUGUGGCAAAAGAGAUCCCAUCUGAUGACAUAUACCGCCGGCGAUUUUAAAAAUGUUUGGACCACCACCAUUAUUUACUGAACGAUCUAUUUUCACCCCCAUGGAAGUAAAAGCAAACAAACAGUUAUAUCGUCGUAUUUUUUCAAUGAAUUCCUUGCUCUGUGGGGGUCCAUCAAAUUUUAGAAGGUCAACAAGAAAUGGAGGCGGUUUUUUGAAAGGCUCAACAAAGACUUUCCCACCCUUGCAGCAGAGGUUGUAGACAACCCGCCUUUUGCUUACUGCAGAUUCAGACUUUGCCCUCUCCUGAUACCAGAAGCUCGACUUACAACGGGAAUACUUAUAUGCUGGGCCUCCAUAGAAAGACCUGCCUACAUAACCAGCUAUGGAACAAGUAUGUCCUUAGAUCAAAUCAUACGACUAUAGACUCUGGUAAGACAGAGGCAGCGCAAACAAGAUAUCGCAUGUAUUACCUUUAAAGAUAGCAACCUCCUCAUCGGUGAAACCAACCUACAAAGGAUCUAAGGGAGAAGUAAACGGUUCAUAUGUACGAAAUACAGCAAUCCAAAAGCUCACACGGCGUCAUAAACAUAAGACAAGUCUAAGGAAGUAAAGAGUAAAGGAACUAAAUAAGCACCUGGCACACGACCACCAAACCAUCUAUCGUGUAUGAGCUUGCGUUUCUUUCGAUUCACAGCAGUAACCUCAGAGGUAAGAACAGGGAAGAAACCAUCGUCUAUAGUAAUAACACGAAAACAAAGGCAUUAAUAAGGUAACAUAAAAAGGGCCUACCGAGAAGUGACAAGAAGGGUCAUACAUUUUCUCUUGGGAAGGCCUGAAGCAAUAUAUCCAACAAACGCCGAUGAGAUAAGAUUUUUACGACGAGAGGGACGAGGAAGAGACACAAGAGGCACCCCAGCAGCCACCCUACGGGGGCGACGGACAACAGGAGGGCUAUCCGUAGGAUUCUUACGACGAGAGGCACAAGGAAGAGGCACAAGAGCCACCCCAGCAGCGGCCCUGCGGCGGCGAGAAACAACAGGAGGGCUAUCCAUAGCGUAUACGGUAGAACAUAGGCGUGAGGGAGGUCAUAGCAAAAUCACUGGACUACAAAUCCUACAUCAUAGCACAAACAUCACUGGAAUGUCAAGAAAGCACCCAAACAAACUAGAGAAAUCUAAAGAUGGACAUGCCGGAGCAUAAAACAUUGACUAAAGCAAGGAACUACCAUACUCAACGCAGCAGCACUAAAACCUUUUAAAAUCCUGAAAGUAAGAAACAAAUCUAAAAGAACAGAACCCAAAUAAAAGGGAUAAAAUAAUAUAAAGAGGGCACUGGAAAUGCUUUACCACCAACCACUUUCAUCCCUGUACACGAAAGGGAAGAAAUAACCAACGAAGGAAACCCGAACUAAAAAGGUAUCAAAACACCCUCAAAUGGAUCCAACAAGAAGCUAAGCAUCUAACAGCAAAACAAAAGAAAUGGGACAAACCAAAACACUACAAAAACAAGGUUGAGAUAGCAAGAGCCAAGGCCUAUUCAGUCUGCUUUCCACAAGCCCAAAGAGAAACAAAACUAACAGCCCACCUACACUAAUAGCCCACCUAAAAUCCUGGCAGGAAUCAAAGUGUGUUCACUUUGUCUGCUGCAAGCCCAAAAAGAAGCAAAGACAAGAGCCUACCGAAAACUUUUUUACACAGAGAAGCGACGCAGGGAGCAAGAGAAUACUUGGUACAGAGAACAGCACACCCGACUACGCAAUAAUCUCACUAUAAACCACAUCUCGUUAUACAAAGCUCUCAAACAGUAAGCAGCCUAGUUUCAGUACAAGAAUCAAUUACAAAAUCUACACAUUACGCAUGGAUGCCAUAAGCUGAGAGCACGAUAAAUUCCAAUCUAACGUUCCCCGCUCAACAGGAGGCGAGGUAAAUAACCCUGGCCCUACAGAAACCUCUCUCUCCAAUCUCCCGGCGUGCCGAGCAGCAUGCACAGCGACAAGAACAGCAGAACGCAUGGAUUCCCUAUACGCCAUCAUGCAUUCAUAGUUGUAGUCUCAAUUGAUGGCCUGCACAGCAGCGUGAUCGUAAGCGCCAACGCAGCCACGCCAGGCUGUGCUCCAAAAGAACUGCCUCCGUGACACCGCGCCGACGCCUUCCAAAGGAAGCUCAAGCUCUACCCCAGCCAAAACAGAGCCGUCCUCAGUCACCUCAUACAAGUAAAACAAGGCCGGCAAAGCACAACGAGCUGCAAGAGUCUCUAAAACAGGAACGACGAAGUAAACAACAGCACACAUCCUGGAGAGCAUCGCAACAAAAUGAUAAGAAAAAAAAAACACAACCACAACCCACGGAGAUAAUCCGCAGGAACAAAACAAGUGUAAAUAAACAUAGACACAUAUCACACAUAUAUGCAAUACAUAUAUUCUACAGGGAAGAAACAAACCUUGAUAGGAGCACUAAGCACAGUACAGGGCAGGAUCGAGCCAAGAUGAUAUUCUGGACCUGGUAGACCUGUUUGCAGACAAGGCCAAAAGACAACCAAAAAGAAUAUCAGGUCAACAAUCAGGUAAACGUCAUACAAAAUCUGCGAAGGAGAUUUCUGAAGAAGAAAAGAACAACGUCUAAACCCAUAAAGCAGUAGAAACAAAAUAAUACAGAAAGUAAGAACCUCAGCCAUACACAUGAGCGACGGCGAAGGUCAUCGUGAAAGCAAGCAGAUCGGGGCGGAAGAAGGCGAUGCGAGCAGAACACGCGGGAACAGUGGGUCGAAAAGGGGAAAGUGAACGGGAGAGAGAGGAAAGAAGCCGGGUCGAGAGGAGUUAAUUGCAGAGAACUACCACACUUCGGCACGUAAUCAGUACCAUUAGUCAUUUUUUUGGUCAUGCAGUACCAACUCUAAGCCUAAGUGUUGUAAAACGAUCUGACAGCCGUAUAAGUGCGUAUUGACCACGUAUCUGACCGCUUGGACCCGUGUGUCAGGGAUUGACGUGGCAUGCUCUUUUACAAAAACAACCCUUACUUUUUAUUUAAUCACACAUAUAUCUUCUAUUUUUUCAAAAAAAGGUCUUGCCACAAGAACCCUUUUUUCAAAAAUAACGCCACGCGCUCGCAUGGAUUCGAACCCGCAACGUGCCGUUAGAAGAGAACGCUCGCUGCCGCUGCACCUAGAAAGUAAUUACAAAUAUACAGAAAAGAAAUAACAAUAUCCAAUGUAAAAAAGAGCACUACUUCUUCCUUUCUAGGUGAAUAAGGCACCCGAUACUGUCAUCAGUUUAGACGACUUGCAUGAAGGCUAAUAUUUUUCUAUUUACAAGAACCUACUUGAAAAAAGGCACACACAAAGAUCUAUAAAAAGAAGUCUGCUAACAGAAAGGAACACCAAAAGGUACCAUAGAAGACCUAAAAGGCGUAAGAGCGCGAGAGACAAACCUCUGCUAAGAAUGAGCAGCAGCAGCAGACGGUCGAUGAACGGCGGAAGAAGGACGCACAGUUGAGCACCAGCAGACCACGUUCAGUAAAACCUGAGAGCACCGGCGAGUUAGGAAUUUCAUCAAACAUGUAAGCCGCAAGGCAAGAAAUGCAAGCAGAGGAAACGAAAAUACACCGGAAGAAAAAGCAAAGAGGGGCACCUACUCAAGAAUCAUUACCACGUCAAGAAAACACAGGACAACCUAGAUCUGCAGGAAAGGAAAAAAGGAAGGUUUAGAACGGAGGAGAUCGAACCAUGGACGAACCGAACAACAAGGUGGACGAUCUAACCUCAGCCAUACGCAUGAUCGACGGCGAAGGUCAUCGUGAAAGCAAGCAGAUCGGGGCGGAAGAAGGCGAUGCGAGCAGAACACGCGGGAACAGUGGGUCGAAAAGGGGAAAGUGAACGGGAGAGAGAGGAAAGAAGCCGGGUCGAGAGGAGUUAAUUGCAGAGAGCUAC